GAGAAUCUAGUUUUCUCUGGUUAUUUUCCUUCAUAAUUUUCUUUCCUUCUCUAAUAGAGUGUAAGAGUUGUACAUGUAGAAAAUCAAAUUACAAUAAUUGAUGAACGGCACAAGAUAUAAAAACUAGAAAGUAGAAACCAUGAACAGAACAAGUAAAUGAAUCGGCAAGGAGCAGAAUACAGUCCACUCCAAUAUUGAACUCUAGCCGCCAAAAAGAUAACCCUUUCCACUGAAAAAGACUUUUAGGACAGAAACUAAAGCAUGACGUUGGCAGAUGCCAACCCGUAAUUCAAUUUGGACAUGCUUGCAAGCAAAAUAAAAAAAUUGCGGCAAAUAUAAAAUUGCACUUAACCAUACAUUUAAACAGAACGUUUUAUUCUUCUUUGGCUAAUAUCCGAGGAACCCAACUAACAGUCAAACCCAACUACCCAACACUAAGUUGCUCGAGAAGAAAAUCCCUCCACCCCCACACACCCCCCUGAUUCAGUAUCAUUUGGAUUAUCUGCACCCUCAGUGAUAUCUGCAGCAACCAAACUGUUUUGUGUACUGUCGUCAGCAUCAGCAGAUAAAGGAGAGUCGGGAUAUUCAUCUUCUGGAACUUCUGAAGGAUCAUAGCUGACAAUAGCUAAGGAAGCAUCGACAAGAUGCUCAUUCAAUAGCCUCAACAUUAAAGUGGGAUAGCUCGGCGGGACAAGCUUGAGCUUGUGUUCUGGCGUAUGCUGCUGAUUGAACCUCCCGGGAAGCUUGGAGCGAGUAUUAUAGCAGUCUCCACAAAGGUCAAAACCAAUUUUCUCAACACAAUCUUUGCAUUGAUAUCUAUCCCCGAUGAUAGGAUACAUCUGUUAAUACAAAUAUACUCUAUUAUUAUAGGAUACAUCUAUCAAUCCAAAUAUACAUGAUACUUGGGGCAAUAGAACAACACUAAUAAGUGCCACUACGUUAGAAAUUUUGAAGGAUUCAUUGAUUAUAUUUCUCAUUUCAAGUACACAUAGAAAAGACUCGGUGUGAUUCAAAGUAUUGUUCAGAUUGAAAAUCAAUCAAAGGACGCACACCAUUAUUCAAUUCGCAGAACCACAAGGCAAUUACUGCACAAAGUCAGACAGAACGAUAGCGAGGAACAUCUGCAUUUGACAAUAAGUUGCAAAAUCAAUAGAUUUUUGCAUCAACUCCCCAAAAAACAGAGAGAUUCAGCAUGCACUUCAUAGCAUGUGUUACAAACGUUUUUGUAUUUGCAUGUAUCAGAGAGAGCUCUAUGGACUAACAUUUCAAGAUAUUGCAAUCUUGAGAUGGCCCUCUGAUAGCAGCUGACUAAAUAAAUAAUAAAAUAUACAACUAUUGUAGAACAAUCAUUAUAUAUUAUAUUGGAAACAAAAAAUUCAAAUAGACGACCCCAACUAUUUUGGACAAAGGUUAGUUGUUAAAUAAUGCUUAGCCCACCUUCCAGCACAGUCCAAAAAAGAAAAAAAAAGAUGUCAAUGUCAAUAAACUUAACAUUCCAAACAAUGAUAGCUAGUCUCCAUAUUACAAAGACACUAUCUAACCAAAAAUACAUCGAACACCAAGUAUUGAGGUGCACUUGGUGCCAAAUAUGCAUUGUCGCUUCAAACGAGAGAAUCAAUACAAAAGCAUGAAAUGAAGGGCUAGAAUUUACCCCACAAAAAUCGCAACCAACUCCAUAAUGGACCUUCAAGUGAGAGUUCACCACCUGUGGCAAAUGCUCUGCCUUUGGAAUUGAUGACAAGAGAGAAUCUUUGUUACUAGCUCCUGUAGAAUCUGAAGCAGACAACAUGGCAACUUAUAAUGUCCAAAUUCAGAAAAUAGCAUAUCGUCUUAUUGAAGCAAAAGAUUACCAUAGAAUAAAAUUAUACUCGUGUAAUUGGACAGGAAGGUAAAACAAAUUAACAAAUAAUACAGUUAAAUGGAUUUGGGACUCGUCUCAUAUGCAUGUGUGCCAUUUAGGAACAUGCACUUACUGCCACCACAAACUCCCACCCAUCCCCUCCCUCCUCCCCCAACCCCAGCAAAAAAAAAAAAGGCCUGCCUUGAAAAUUUUUUCUUUAAAAAAAAGCCAAACAAGCUUCCUUAUGUGCUUCUCUCGAGUUGGCAGCCUAAGAUUUACACAUUAGAUUAAGCAUGUCAAGCAUUCCUUGACAUUUCAUGCAGUUGAACAGCAGAAGUCCUAGGUAACCGGAAAAAAAAAAAAGAUGACAAAAGAACCAUAAUUCAAGCAGUAAAAGGAAAGGGACUACACAGUUAGCUUUAGAAAGGAGCAGACAUACAGGUAGGGUUCUCAUUGUCAGAAAGUGCUUGUUUAAGCUGAACAGCUUCUCUUCUCAAGGCAUACUCUCUAGGAAAAUGUUCCUGCACAAAGUGAUCAAGAUCCAAACAGACUUUUGGGCAACCAAUUGGGUGCAGAGAUUGACAAGCUUGACAUCGAAGCAUCCCAUCAGAUGAACCUACUAUGCAACUUUCACAAUACCCUGAAACAAGACAAAAAAUACAAAAGCAGAAUAUCAUCACCGGAAUCUCGAGACAGUAGGUAAUAGCAUCUGAUAGCAUUUAACUGGCCAAAUUAAAAUAUAAAAGGUUACCAUGGCCACAGUUAAGAAUAACUGGACGAAAAAGCAGUUGCUUGCACGCAAUGCACUGUACAUCAGCAACUGAUACCUGCUUGCAAUUUCCAUUAGGUUCUCCCGUCCUGGUGGAGCAAGACUCUGAGCAUGAGUUGGAGUACAAACUACUGGAUGAUGAAUGUUCAGGAUCCUUCAGGUGAUCAUAUUCUUGAUUGGCAUGUGAUCCACAUGCACUGCAAUUGAGCUGCGGUGAAAAACAGCCCCUUUCUUUUUCUUCCACUGGAACAUGCAAACGCGUCAAUGUCAUAUCAUUAAGUUUUACUGGUCCUACCUGAUAAAAAAAAGGAAAAAUAAUGCCAUACUACUGCCUUUACCGAAGCUAAUCACCACCAUGCUGUAUAAUAUGGAAGAGCAAAUUCAAGCUAGAAUUAGCAACCGUUAUAUUUAAAAUGAAAAUGUCUAUCAAUACCUCAUUAAGGGGAGAAAUCAAGAAACGAGCAGUAUAGUUUUUGAAGAUUGUUUCAUUUAUUAGGUUAUAUAUUUAUUUUUUGACUUCCAUUGGUAGCUAUUGUCCUGCUCCAAGUCAGUUAGACUAUAUGCAUCAUAUGCUGUGAAGCAGUGCAUCUGUGCAAAGGAAACACUCCAGAAGAAUAUGAAGCUCACCUAGAGUUUGUUCUUCCCUUCUCUUGUAUGCAACCGGAUACAUCUUGAGGAGCAAGAAGUGUAAAAUCUGACAGAUGGUUGGAAAGUGAUUAUAUGGACGCCUACAAAUGGGACAAUGGGAUGCUCGUACGCCAUUCAUGCAGUUAUGGACACACCAGAAACAGGAAACAUGACCACAAGCUGCAAUGAAAGGAAAAUGGACAAAAGACAUUAGUUUUGCAUUUGAUUUGAUAUUCUCAAAGCAAAUGUAGUAAAGCAAUGCCUUACAGAGCACUAUGGGUUUGAAUAAAAGAUCCCUGAAAACAAAAGUAGAAAGCAAAUUUAGAAUUAGCUAGUACAAAAUAAUAAAUAAUUCAAGAUCAUAAAGCAACUAUGAGAACACGAACAAGAAUACAAGUCAUACAUAACCUUGAUUGAGCUAUAGCUACAUGGGUACAUAUAUAAAGCUACUAACCUAAUGAUAAUAAUUAUAAUGCAAGAUAUCCCAUUAUCUAGUGCAGUCCACCAUAUCAUAAUUGAUGUAAGUACAUCCCCGCAAAAAAAAAAAAAAACAACUUAACUAAUCUCACAUUUGACAUCAAAUUUUGUUUAUUUGUCAUAAAGACCAAUGCAAAAAUGCACAAUAUUUGGAAAAAAAACAUAAGAUGUAAGAAACAGUAAUGCAAAAUAAAGUUAAGAAAUUUGACUUAAUUCCAUAAAAUUUUAUGGAAUUUAUGUGUAAUUCCAUAACUCUUAUGUUUCAGAAUAUAAAAUUAUUUAACAUAGUGUUUAGUCCAACUCUAUUAGAGUUUAGAAUUCAUUUGAAAUGAAUUCUACUUGAAUUCAUUUGAACUGAAUUCCAAUGUUUGGCUUGAUACGAAAUGUAAAAUUCAAUUGUAUUCCAUAUUAUAACUGUUUGGUAUAAUUCCAUAUACAAUUUCAUAUGUCCCUAUUUCCUAACUACUAUCAAUAGUAACAUUUUUAGGAACAAUAAUUUUUAACUCAAGUAAACAAAAAAAUCUUAUAUCCAAUAGAUUUAUAAUGGUUAAACAACUAUAUAAACCAAUUAAUAAUAUAUGCUGAUAAACUUCAUUUAAAAGUAUAUUUUUUCUUAUUUCCUAAACUACUAUCAAUAGUAACAUUUAGAGACAAUAAUUUUUAACUCAAGUAAAAAAAAUCUAAUAUCUGAUAAAUUUAUAUUGGUUAAAAAAAUACAUAAACCAAUUAACAAUAUGCUAAUAAAUUUGAAUUAAAAAUAAAACAAUCUAAUAAUAAAUAUCAAAUUAAUUCAUAGGCCUCAAAAUAGGAGGUUUACCUAACAACAUAAAUAAUGUCAUUGAUAAGUGCAUUAUAAACUUAGAUAUUAGAAAGCUAAUAUUAAAAUAUCUGGUGUUGUUUUUAUGCUUUGCGUGUGAUUUUUAUUGUUUUUAUUUCUAAUUUUUUUGAAAUAAAUAAUCUAUUUAAUUGAUUUAUUAAGGAUAUUUUGGUCCUACAAAUAAUAUUAUGUUGGUUUUGUAGAAUUCAUUUCAAAUUCCAUCAAAUUUUGAUAGAAUUUAGUUUCAGCUAUAACCAAUUCCACAUAAUUGAAUUCUUGAAACUAAACUCAUGAAAUUCAAUUAAAUUACAACAGGAAUUGAACCAAGCAGUCUCUAAAACUCUUUUACAAUUCUAUGUUCAUAAAAAUUAUAAUUUGCAAAAUACAAAAUUCUAUUGACAGAAUAAACUUUGUCAAAGAAGGCUUCAUCACCACUUCAUACCCAAUUCAUAAAAUUACUGAACGUUCCAAACACAUAACUAAAUAACAAUCUAGAUAAUGUUAUCUGGACCCAAUUCUUCAUUUUGUUCUCUUCACAUACCGAAAAAAUAUAAUUAAAAUGGAUAAAAAGUCCCAAUUUUGUAACCUCAAAUCUGUUAACCACAUCAUUAUUGAUUAAUAUAGCAGAAAUAGUAUUAAAAAGGUAAAGUUAAGAGCAAUUACAGACAAAUGCAACAGAUAAAGCAAUCGGAAAUGUUCUCCUCCGAUUCAACAGCGGUAGAAGUGGCGGUGGCGGUGGGUUCACCCUUCCCCAUGGUUAAAUUGUUGAUAAAUGCAACAGAAAGACGAAUAGAAUGUCAAAGAUUGUCACAUAUAAGGUCCCAAUUUGAAAAUUGAAACCCUAGAUCUUGACAAAAUGGCGACGAGGAAGGGAGCUAAACAUACACUGUUGUUGGGACGGAGUCGGUUUAUGCAAAAGGAAAAAUAGAUAACGACUUCUCUCUGAUAGAGGCGGUUAUUAAAUUUUUUUUUUUUUUAUCCGCUUUCAAUUUGUUAUCUUCACUUUUUUAUCUUGUACUGAUUAAUAAUAUUCGCUAAAAAUAAAAUUGUUGGCUGUCAAACCUAUCUGAAUUUAAUUAGUAAACUUCUAUUUAGAUUUUUUUUUUUUUUUUUAAUUUUGUGUGGUCAAUCAAUGUCAGUAUGUGUAAAUAUAAUACUCAUUAAAAGUAGAAUAUGAUUAUAAUAAAUCACAAAGUUUUAAGGUAUUUUCGUUUAGAAGGCUUUCAAUGCUCAAUCAUUGAUGUUUGAAUUCUAAAUGGAGAUAGGUGGCAUCGUUUUUCACACCAAUUGCUAAUUCCAUAUAAAUCAUAUCUCAAAUUAGUAAUUACAAUUAAAUUAUAAAUUAAAGCAUGAAUAAUAAAAUAAAUAUAAAAGAUUGUGUCAGGCGCAACUUAGAUCAUUUAGCAUGGCUCUAAUAAACUUUCUGUUAAGAGUUCCAUUUCAUGCUUCUUUUUCAUUCUCACUGCAUUUUCUUCCAUUAGCCGCGAAAAUCUAAAACUUACAUCCUAUGUCUCUGGCCAUCUUAGAGGUUUACUUUUGAAGCAUUUUUGGUUAGCACGCACUUCUAGCAUGCAGGCCAAACAAUUUAAGAAUCUAAAAUAUAAGUAAAUACUAUAUAAAGGAAUUGAAAAAAAAAAAAAAAAAAAAAAAAAAAAAAAAAAAAGAAGCUCAAACAGUAUCUAUCAGAACUGGAUUUCUGUACACAUGAUCUAUUGCCAAUUAGGAAUCUACCAUGAAAUCUUCCGCCAAACAAGCUGCUACACCUGCUUCUUGAUUCUCAGAACCUUCAACCAAAUAGAAUCACAAAAAAAAUGCACUACAAAUUACCUAUUUAGCAACUAAUACAUUUAUGUAGGGUAAACAAUAACUCCAAAAGAAAAAAAAAAAAUUGUGCAGCUGAUCUAACCAAUAUUCCAUUGCUUGCUCCAUAGAUUUCUGCGAAGCUAAUGCCUUAUCGGGACUUCUAUUUCCAUAGUUUAACAGAGCUGUCAUGACUUGCAGAAGCCACCAUUCCGGUGAUGGGGGACUGUGCCAAGGCUGAGAUUAUGUUCUCAUGAGCUGCAAUUGUCAUACUCUUAUUCUCAGCUAUGUUCCAUAGCUCCAAGGACUACAGCCACAAUUAAAAAUAUCAAAUCAAUUAGUUUAGAAAGGCAGCAUUUAACAGGAAUUAUGAGUCUGAACUCAUUGCGAUGCAUCUGGGUGGAGACUUGCUAUGAUGCUGGCGCAAAAUGGAGAAAAACCUGAAUCAUGAAUCCAUUCAAUUCAAGUGAGGAGAAUAUUAUGUUUAUCCUAUGAAUAUGAUCAUACCAAGAAAUGCCAAAGCACCAAAGUGAACUCCUUGCCAUGUUGUAUAUGAACCAAAUUGUGUGUGAAGCAGGUUUUGUUUUUUCUUUUCCAACAAUUACAUGUAUCUCUAAGAAAAAUAUAAUUUAUACCCUGGAGUCAGUAGUUAUGCCAACAGCCAGAAAAUAAACACAGAUAGGAAAGUAGAAAAAUAAAAAAUUUACAUCAGUUUACUAAUUUCACAUUAUAAUAUUUGGUUGUACUCUAAUCAUUUCAAAAGUAUUCCAUAUUUGUCCUUUUGUGUGUGUUACAGAUGAUAAAUAUAUUGAAAAAUUGCACCAAAGACCUCAGCUUCAAAGAAACUUUAUAAUAGAUAUCUAACUCAAAUAUCCUAGUCCACAAGCAAUCCAUUUCCAUGAGAUGUUCAGGUAGCAAUGAUCAGUGAAGUAAAAAUAUCAAACAACUGUCGAUAUCAAAAAUAGGAGCCAUGCAUAAACCAUGAAAGACAUGCCUUAACACGCAUAAUCAUGUCUACUAUGAAUAAUCACCAGCAAGACAUUACAAAACUUUGUCUAUACCAGUUUAUAGAGUAAUCCAAGAAAGGAGGACCUACCGAGAUUCCUCCUAUCACCAGGAGGGUUGAGUAACUUGGAUGGAAAACACAAGAAUGGAACUGAUUUCCAUUAGAACUAAGCUCCUGAAAGCACUCCCCUGAGGCCAAAGACCAUAUCUUCACCGAGUUCUGACUUACAGAUGCCAAAAUAUCCCCAGUUGCAUCCCAGCAUAUGUAGUUCACCAUUUCAGAAUGGCCCUAUAAAUAAUAUGAGGAACCAUUAUGGACAUCAACAGUCAACAAAAGUUUAUUUUCUGAAAGCUACUCUUCAUACAUUUUCUUAUUUUAAUAUCAGUGUACCAACUGCCUGAACUUGGCCAGAAUUACUAACAGUCCAUCAUUUCAAAUGGUGUACCUGGAAUGAAUGAGUUUGCCUAUCAGUUUCGACAUCAAAUAUGGACACCACUUUAUCCGAUGCUGCUGCCAAUAAAUGUCCAAUUCUUGGUUGAAAUCUCACUUGUGCAGCACCUCCCUGAGCAAAAGAUUGAACCAGAACAGUGAUUCAAUGCAGCUUACUAGAAGAACUGAAAGACCCAACAAAGAAUGAAUAAAGGACAAUAAUGCUAAAUAACAAACCUUAGAAAUGCGAGUGCAGGAAAAUGGAUUUAUAGUAAAAUAGCGAACUUCCUUUUCGUUGUCACUAAAACAGAAAAGGUCAGUUUUCUUAGGAUGAAAGUCCAGGGACAUGACAGGCAUCUGCCCUGUAUAUGCUUGUACGCUAUAGCUUGGCUGUGAGACAAACAUAAAAGAAUAAAACAUUAUAUUAGGAAUUACGGCACAGAACAACUUAUGGUAUGGAUUAUGAAUCAUUGGCAGAAAACUGAAAGCACAGCAAGCAAAAGAAAUGAACUAAAUGCCAAUUUACAACUAAAGAUGUCAUGAAUGCUCAGUUGAACCUAAAGCCUUCAGGACUCAACUGGAUUUAUGAACAAUACAGAGAAAGAUACUCACAUUGGCUGCAUCCCAUAAUCGCACAGAUUUGUCAACUGAUGCUGUGGCUAACUGAGACGAAUUCGGUCUGAAACGAACAUCUGUGAUAAUCAAUUUGUGCUCUUCAGGAGUUGUCUCCGUCUGUAGGGUAUCCAUGUUCCACAGGACAAUCUAAUGCAUACAGCAAACAGUAACUUAUAUGAUAUUUAGCUUCAGUUCAUAUUACAUUUUUCAACUUCUUGUUUAUACUCUGCUCAUAUGCUGAUGAAGGUAACAGAGCCACAUGUUGCUUAUUAGUUCAAACCGAUACAUGACCGUGCAAAGCAGACAAUUAGAUGCUUAAAGAACGAGAGUAACUCUUGUCAUAAAUGCAGAGACCCACAGUGGCAAGGAACAUUGGUUUAAUGAAAUUUGUUAACAGCAGGAGUUGCUGCUUGUGCUUCCCAAGUUGGCUCUAUGCACUUGGGAUUUUAGGCCACACUGUCUAUAAUUCUUAACGGACACUAUUAUGAGCAAUAACUGAAUGAACCAAUUGUCCGUUUGGGAAAAUAUGUUUUCAAGCAUGGAUUUACCAUCUGUAAUAUUACACAUUAUACCUUCUUGUCAUGUCCAGCACUGGCUAGCAAUUUUCCAUCUGAAGAAAAAUGACAGCAAGUGACCAUACUAUUUCUUGUCCGUAUGCAACCAACCUCACCAAAAGUAAAACCUGCAAUUGAUAGCGUGAUUGUAAAUCAAGUAUAAAGUGAAUGUCAUUCCAACUUCAUAAAGACACAAGAGGAUGAUGCCAUGGCGGAUUUGAUUACCUUUAGUAGAUUCCUUUUGGUGCUCAGUGGAACUUUGCUUCAGCGUUCCAUAUAAAUCCCUUCCAUCCCCUCCAUCAUGAGGAAGAAACUGUUCCAUAUUAUCAUCCAGGGCAGCAAUAUCUCCAAAGCGGUCCAUGUCUUCCUGCACAAGACAAAUGAUUGCCCUCAGAAGCACGAUCAUGCUUAUUUUUUAUGCAUUUCUACACUUCAAAGCAUUCAAAAUGUAGUUACAUUGGAAGAAAUUCUUUUUAAAACAACAAAGUUGUGAUAAUAUGCUAGAAAAUAAAAUCUGAUAGAUUGAUAUUAGCACACAAUCAUUAAUGUAUCACGAAAGAACCAGAGAUUCCAUAUAUUUGUGAAAAUUGGAGACUGCAUGCUCAUAAUUCAGAAUUGAAAGUUAAUAAAGUGUCUGUUAUAUAAUUUCCUAAUUCUUCACACCACUUUUUUACCAGCAUGCUAGAAGAGGAUGCAAGACCUCCUGUCCCCUCUGGACCAUAUAUCAUCAAGCCUUUUGACACACCAUGCUGCAAAUUAUCACCAGGGGUGUGUGUUGAUGGAGGAGAACUGGGCGAAGGACCCACAGUAUUCCCUGUACCAGUGCUGUUAGCAGCUCCGGAAGAAGAGUGUUGCUUCCUUUUUCUGUUACUCUGUAGCCACCCACUAAAGAAUUAUUAGCAUAAUGCAUUUUAAUGUGGGUUAUCCAGAAUGCACAUAACUUCAGAGAAAAUUGUACUGCCCUUGCAAAUACAUUCAUGUCAGGUCAUAAGCUGAGAUUCAAGUUCAUCGUGAACAAAAUAAGAACAACCUGUUGCAACUGUUGUUGUUGCUGUUGUAAUUGGUCCUGUUGUUGAGAUGAAGAAUGCUGCAUCUGGGCCAUCUUCAUCUGGUUAACAUGCACCAAAUACUCAGUAAUAUGGCAUUUAGGACUGAUUAAAGAUUCUCAAGUCCUUAAUUGAUAUUCACAGGAAAGGAAGCCAGAGCAAGUUCCAAAAAGAUUUUAGAGAUGCAUUCUUAAUAACUCAGAAAAUCAGAGACAUAACAUGUAGAACGAAAGUUCAUACUUAUUAUUGCAAUAUAAAUGUGAUUAUAAGAAUAACAAUCAUUGAUGGAGAUGCAUUACAUGAACACAAUCAAUAGUUUGCUUCUAUUUGGAUGGCAUUUUCCCUUCACAACCCAUCCCACAACAGGAGCACAGGAACAAAACACCAAAUAGAAUGGAGAAAAGAAAUUAAAAAUAAAGCAGGCUUCAUCUUCCUCUUUGAAAGAAACAAUAGUAAAACUUUCUAUUUUACUGGGAAUGAAGAAGGGAUUAAAAAAGUUCGACUUUCCUUUAACAUGAGAUGAUUUAUAUGUUGGUCUUUGCAUCUGAAUAUAUGUACAAAACAUGAAGGCAGGAGAAAUCCAAACACAAAAAUGCAUAGCCUCUAUCUCUCAUUGUCUUAUCACAGCUUAAUCAGCCAGGAUAAAAAAGGUACCAUACGUUUCAACUAUUAGCAUGAAUUGAAAGUUGGUGGCUCAGUAAUGAAUUUUCCUUAUUAUCGAGAAUGUUGUUGUGUACAUAAAAUAACCAUUAAAAAAAUAAUCUAUUUGACAGACAUAAUGCAUCAGAUCUUAUCGUUUCUUUUCCCUAAUUAAUCAUACAAAUUGGAGAGAGAAUAAAUAAAGUCAUCAUUUAAUUUCCAAAACUAUUUUCAAUUUUUCAAUAAAUAAUUUUUCCUUAUCAAGAAUUAUGAAUUACAUAAUUAAUUGGUUGUCUUUAACUAAAUGCAAUUGUUUAGAAAAUUUCCAUUAAUAAUCAAUUUUAUAAGGGGCAUAUAAAGUCUAAAAUUUAAUACAUUCAAACAAUUAAGCUGAUAAAAAGAAGUGUGUUUUUGUGUGUGUGUGUGUGUGUGUGUGUGUGGUUAUUUGGGUUAUUUGGGAAGAUAUCUGAACCUUUGGUGAGCUUGAUUGCACAGGAGAGCAUAUUGAUCCAUCAUUUCUAGUGGAUUGAACAUCUUUAGUGAUCAAGCUACUCCUAGGCAACUGACUUAGCCGUCGUGGGUCCAUGUCUCCAAAAUUAUUUGAAUUUCCAACGCUACUCUGAGCUUGAGCUUGUGCCAGGACCUGCUGUUGUUGUGAAGCCAAAAGAAACUGAUUUUGGGUCUGCAGGUUAGGUUUCUGCAUCUGUACACCCAAGCCUGGCCUUAAUUGAUCAAUUCCCUGUAGCAUUUAGGUGUAUUUUGCAGUCAUAAACAUGGACAUAUGCAAAUAAAAGAUACAUGGAAUAUCCAGCAUAAGAAAAACCAAAUGCAACUUACAGUUAAGGGCCAACCCUUCAAUGGAAGACCAGUUACACCUUGAUUCAAUCCUGAAUGAAGAAAGAAAAUCAUUUUUUCCGUUUAAUUUGCAAAGAGCAAUCAUUUCCAACCAAGAUUGUUAAGCAGGGUAUUUAACUAUGUCCAGUGAAGAACCUAGCAUGUCAUUAAAAAUUCAAUGCGGCAGAAACGGGAACAGAAUGCUAAAUAAAUCUCUGUGCGCGCACGUGCUUGGACAGGAUAUUUACUUUUCAGUGUUCACAUUUUUAAAUUCUAAAAUGAACUCAACUGAGUAGCAUCCAUCUAUAAUGGAUAUGGACACAACCACCUUAUGGAUAAUAACUUCAAAAGAGAAAAGAUAUGUAUAGUAAUAACACAUUUGGAACUUAACAUUGUAUUAACUAACCCAUAAAAUAUACCAACCAAGCCAGAAAAUCCUAAAUGUAAAUUUAAGGUUACUGAAUUAUCUCACAUUGCAACAUGCCAACAUUUACUCGAUUGCGAUGCUAUCUCUCAGUACUCAAUACAUGACAUUAACAUUAAUUUUCAAUUUUUCUUUCCAAAACCGUAUUAUCUGUAGAAGGAUAAAAAAAAACAUGUGUGCUGUACUCAAGAAAUGAUGACAAACAUUUCAUAUGGCAAUCUCUUCCACCAUUACCUGCACCACCUAGUCCAGAUUUUGAUUGUAGAAUUGCUUGUCCAUAAAUGGAUGAAGGGUCCAUGGGCAAAUUUUUCUGAGUUGGGCCCAAGUUAACUUCACUUUUGAUGUCCUAUAAACUCCAUGUGUGAAACAGGUCACAACUGGUGGAAUGGACAUUCUAAAUGAACAGAAAUGGAACAAGAGCAGGAACUAGCAAAAUUAAAGCAGAGGCUGGUCCAAGUAGUUACAGUUGUCAAAGAAGUCCGCGCUUGGAUCUGCUGCAAAGCUGCUGACAUGUUCCCAGAAUUACCCUGUACCAGCUGGCUGAAUCCACAAGGACUCAAGAAAUUGAUUAUCCAAUCCAACUGGGCUGAAUGACUGUAAAAUUAGAGGUCAAGAAUGCAUAUAAUUAUACCUCUGAUGACUUGUUGCUGACUUGAAAAGCGCCAUCCUAUUAGCAUCAAUUAGAGCCGGCGCUGUCUCUGAGUCCAUAGAAUGAGGGUGUUUAAUGCGUUCUUCAUACAUCUUCAUUGCCAAAACACUAGCUGAUGGCUGCCCCAUCAUUCCUUCCGAGUUCAUAGCAUUUAUAGAACCAGCAAGAGCUGGAUGAUUAGGGUCCCUUCGUUGCAGCUGAGCAUUGCGAUGUUGCAUUAGUUGCAACUGCUGCAUUUGCAGUUGCUGUUGCUGCUCCCUGACCUUGAUUUGCUGUGCCUAUUUUCCGUGUAAAUUGUAUAUAAUCAAAAUGAUGAAAGUGAAAGUGAAAGCACAUAGGUCACCUUCUCUAACCAAGAAAACACCAAAUAGAAAAAGAAAAAUGGACCACUAAGACACCUCUAUAUAAGCUGCAGCAGCCUCAGAAUGUUUCUCAUUUGUCCUUGCAAUAAAAAUGUCCCAAAAGACAGACCACCAUUCAAAUAGAAAUCCUCCAGGUGCAUCAAUUGCUGCACACAAAUUAUAACUUAGCAAUAAAGCUCAAUACGUGCAUUCAGAAAGUUCAGGUAAAGCAAGAAUCAUACUCAUCCUCUAAUUUUCCCUAAUAAGGUUUUCAUUUUGCAUACACUGAUUAACUAAAACAAUGUGAAUAGCCCAAAAACAACCUAGUGUGUUUGCCAUUACAUAAACAACCUAGUUAUGCAUUAAAAAAAAUUAAAUUAAAUUACUCAACUAGCCAACAACAUUACCUACUGGAUCUGUGGCCACCUUCCCUUCAGUCAUAAAAGCUUUUGCAGAAUUAUGCAAUUUUCUCUUCAACAAAUAAUCAUGAAUAUACACAUCAAGCCUAUACCAAGAAAAGAGAAAAUAUCACUACAAUAAUUUACCUAACAACACUAAAAAAGCAUGAAAAAAACUUGAAACACCGAAUCAACUAAAACUCAGACGACAAAACAAAAAUUAUUAACAGAGCACAUACAUCUUAUCAGCUUCCCAAUUAUUCUGCCCCAUAUUUCUCUUUUGCAACAAGGACUAAAGAAUUACAAAUGAUCACAGCUCUUAUCUGCAAGAAAAAGCAUCACUACUUCAGAUCUCUUCUAUAAAGUAACAAUAAUUCAAGCCAUUUAAAACCAAAAAGCAAAUAAAGAAGAAGAAUAAUGAGAACAAACACUAUAAAGAAAAUCAAGCUUAUAACACAUAAUCUUACCUCAAUUUCCAAAACAGCAAAAUUAGCUUUGCCAAGUUCAAAAUUAUGGCUCUGGAAAUGCAAAGGUUCAACUAUAACAUAAUCUCACAAGAUCUCCACAUGAAAAACCCUAAAUUCAAGAAAAUCAACCAAACGAAAAUUCAAAGUUGGCAAAAGAAACACAUAAUUCAACCAUGGAAACAAAAAUUUCGCUAGGGAACUAAGAAUUCCAUACAGUUCGUAUGAGUUUAAAAGAAUCAAGAUUCUUAAAUUGACGUAGCUGAGACAAAUUUUGAGCAAUUGAAGAUUCUCUUUGAGUGUAAGUGAAGUAGAACUGUUCGAGCUUUAACAGCGGGAGAUAAAAAGCAGAACCGAAUCGUGAGCAUGGAGUGACAUUCGCGGAAAACUCGCUAUGAUGCUACAUUGUUGUCGUUUUCAUGGUUAGUAUAUAUAUAAGCUUACGGUUUGGAGUUAGGUUCGGUAAAGCAAGCUUUGGAUUUUUAAUAGGCUCGGUAGGUCACGGCCCUGUCGACCGAUUAAGUAUCGAACGAGUUUGCAUGUGAAGGGAGACAGCUCAAUUCAUGCACACGCGCGAGUUGAGGAUUAUGCGUUUUGGCGGAUGUGGACUGGAGUUGAGGAGUGAAUAUGUGUUCGAGGUUUACCUAACACGUUGGGUCUGAGAGACAGCAUCGUAUUUCCAAAUAAAAUUUUGAAUUAACUGUAAACUACUACAUUUUUAAUUGAAUUUACCUUUACGGUUAAGGUAGUUACAAUUUCAAACUAUUAUUAUUGGAAGAAUUUCAUUUAAAUAUUACUUGAUUUUAAAUGCAUAUGAAUCUAUUUUUUCCAUCCAUAAGUAUAAAUGACUAAGAUUUUCGCACAAUAAUUAAUAAAAUAUUUUUCUUAAAAAGAUUAAUAAAAUAAUUAAUUUUCUUAAAUUAUAAUAAAAUAUUUAUUAAUUUAAAUAAAUACUCUUUAUUUCGUAUUAUUAAUUUGUCUAAAGAUUGUUUUAGGAAAUUAUAGAAAUAAUUAAAAUAAAAUUUAAAAAACAUUAAUUAUUUUUUAAUAUUUUUAAAAUGACUUAUAUUUAUAAAUAGAAAGACUAAUUAAUAGUUAUAAACGGGUAAAUACAACUGUUUGUGGGUUGGUCGAUUUAAUUUGAAGUAAUAAUAUAAUCAAAUCUAAAGUGGUGGUCUGAAAAAAUUAAAAAUCAAACUAAACUUUUAAAAGCGGUUUCAUUCAAUAUUAAACGGUUUAAGAGAAAUAAAUUAAACUUCUCCAUUUAUCUAGUUAAUAAGGAAAAUAAUGCUAUAUUAAAUGUUUACUAUAGUAUUAAUCAUUGCAUAAAUUAUUUACUAUAGUAUUAAUAAUUUAAAAAUAAUUUUAAGUUAGUUCGAAUCGGUUAGAAUAGUUUGGGCAUUUUGAUAACUAUCAUAUCAUCAAAACACCACGGUAGGAAAAUAAAUGAAUGAAAUUCAAUUUGUCCUAUAAAAUUAGAAGUAAUAUAUAAUUUUGCCAAAAAAAUAAAUUUUUUAUAUAAUUUAUCUCUUAAAUUUGCACUAAAUUUUUAAUUUUUAAUACUUUUACCUAAUAAAAAGUAUAUAAAAAGUUAGAAAUUAGGAAAGAAAAAAUUAUUUUAAUAUAUAAUAAUAAUUUUAAAAAAUUACUUCAUCUUGUCUUUGAUUUACAAAAUAAUUAAUCAAAACAUUUGAUUUAAAAAAAUUAUAGAAUAAGAAAAAUAUUUAAUUGUAUUUAGUUUUAAAAAUAUUUAUUGUUAUUUGUAUAGUUUUUUAAUUAUAUUUGAUUUGAAGAGUAAAUUAUACAAAAAAUUAAUUUUUGAACAAAUUAUUUAUUAUUUUUAAACUCAAAAUACAAAUUAAGGUACACUAAGAUAUAACUCAUUGACAAUACAUGUACAACCGGAUAAUAAACUCAGUUUUAAGUAUUUUUCCCUAAAUACUAGGAAAAAAAAAAAAAGGCAAAUUGAGAUUUAUUAAAAAAGAUAAGUAGACAAGUGUUUGAGGUUUGUUUUUUUACAAAGAAACGUUCGAGGUUUAACGAUAAAAUAUUUGUGAAGGAACGUCCGUGACGCUCGGGAGUGUCUUCGUGUCAUGCGCUGAAUUCACGUAGGACGCAAGCUAUGUCAGGGGAGACAUAAAUAGGCUCACGCAUUAGCAUUUAGUAGAAAUCGGGCUAAUGGAGUGUGAAGUUGGGAAAUUUUUGAUUUCAUUGUCUUCCCUUUCUCUAUAUAGAGUCUUGUUAUUUACGUCAACUUCCAAUUACUUUGGUUUCGUCAAAAUUUACAAAUUUUGGGUAUUAAAUUAUUCCCUUUAGGACAUUAUCUUGCAAUCUGUCCAAUUUAAUAUCAUGUGACAUCCCAGCAACAAAAGCUUGCUGAUUUUUAAUUUAGGUUUACUAUGUUCAAAUAUGUAAAGUAGGGUGAAAAUUGAAGCAAUAAAGAAAAAGGGAGAAAGUCAACACAAAUGUAUAGUUAAUUUAGUAAAAAAAUGGUUUAAAUAUAUGAAGUACUGAAAAUUUGUAUGCAGAUAUGAAAUUUAAGUUUGAUUUUUACCAAAUAUAAUUUGAAUAAAAAAUUAAUGGUUACCAAAUGAUUCAGUUCUCGUAGAUGAAGUAAAUACGAGCGGGAUAUUAUCUUAAUAUAAUAUGCUGAAAAUACUUUUAGUUAGUAGUAAAAAGAAAAGAAAAUGUAUGGGGAAAAUAUUCUGUGAAAGUAUUUAGUUAAUACAAUCUUUAUAUUAGUAUUUAGAGAUUGAAGAGAAAAUAUUUUGUGAAACGUGAAUAAUUAUUUAAAUUUUUUUGAAAAUAAAAUUCAUUAAUAAUAAUAUCAACAAUUACAAAUAAGCGUAUAGACUAUAUAUAAAACUUUAGCUAAUAUAGUUGUUGAUCUUUUUAAUGAAAUAAAAUCAUAUUUUUUUGAAUAAAAAUAAAGUUAAAAUAUAUUAUUUAAAAUUUUUAAGCUAAUAUAGGUCCUGAUCUUUUUAAUGAAAUAAAAAAAUUCAUAGAUAAGUAGACAAGUGUUUGAGGUUUGUUUUUUUACAAAGAAACGUUCGAGGUUUAACGAUAAAAUAUUUGUGAAGGAACGUCCGUGACGCUCGGGAGUGUCUUCGUGUCAUGCGCUGAAUUCACGUAGGACGCAAGCUAUGUCAGGGGAGACAUAAAUAGGCUCACGCAUUAGCAUUUAGUAGAAAUCGGGCUAAUGGAGUGUGAAGUUGGGAAAUUUUUGAUUUCAUUGUCUUCCCUUUCUCUAUAUAGAGUCUUGUUAUUUACGUCAACUUCCAAUUACUUUGGUUUCGUCAAAAUUUACAAAUUUUGGGUAUUAAAUUAUUCCCUUUAGGACAUUAUCUUGCAAUCUGUCCAAUUUAAUAUCAUGUGACAUCCCAGCAACAAAAGCUUGCUGAUUUUUAAUUUAGGUUUACUAUGUUCAAAUAUGUAAAGUAGGGUGAAAAUUGAAGCAAUAAAGAAAAAGGGAGAAAGUCAACACAAAUGUAUAGUUAAUUUAGUAAAAAAAUGGUUUAAAUAUAUGAAGUACUGAAAAUUUGUAUGCAGAUAUGAAAUUUAAGUUUGAUUUUUACCAAAUAUAAUUUGAAUAAAAAAUUAAUGGUUACCAAAUGAUUCAGUUCUCGUAGAUGAAGUAAAUACGAGCGGGAUAUUAUCUUAAUAUAAUAUGCUGAAAAUACUUUUAGUUAGUAGUAAAAAGAAAAGAAAAUGUAUGGGGAAAAUAUUCUGUGAAAGUAUUUAGUUAAUACAAUCUUUAUAUUAGUAUUUAGAGAUUGAAGAGAAAAUAUUUUGUGAAACGUGAAUAAUUAUUUAAAUUUUUUUGAAAAUAAAAUUCAUUAAUAAUAAUAUCAACAAUUACAAAUAAGCGUAUAGACUAUAUAUAAAACUUUAGCUAAUAUAGUUGUUGAUCUUUUUAAUGAAAUAAAAUCAUAUUUUUUUGAAUAAAAAUAAAGUUAAAAUAUAUUAUUUAAAAUUUUUAAGCUAAUAUAGGUCCUGAUCUUUUUAAUGAAAUAAAAAAAUUCAUAUCCUUUUAAAUGAAACUAAAAUUAAAAUAUAUUAUUUAAAAAUUUUAAGCUAUUGAAUAUUUAACAAUUAAUUCGAUAAUUGUUAUUACAAGAAUGUCUGAUAUUUAGUUUGACAAUAAUUAUUAAAUUCUUUAAGUUAUUUAAUAUUUAGCAAUUAAUCAGAUAGCUAUUAUUACAAGAACUAAUCUAGUUACAUGAUUGUCUCCAAACGUGUUUUCUUCUAAACAUAAUUCGAAUUUCAAAUUUACUUCCAAACAUUUUUUAUUAGCGUUAAAAAUAUCAUACUCAAUUUUAUAUUUUGGAAAUCUAUAUUUGAGAUCAAUUACUUAAAAAGAAAGGGAUCGAGGAAAAUAAAAUAUUUAUUCAAUAAUAAACAAUUCAAGGGCACUUCCAUUUUUAAUAAAUUCUACGCUAGCUCUCUUUCACUCACUAAAUAGCGAAAACUUUUAUAGUUAAAAUGACUCAAACUCAAAAUUUUUCACUCUUAACACUAAUCAAAAGACUAAUUAAUCCACACCUGAUUGGCUAGAGAAAUCUUUUUUUUUUUCCCCCUUGAGGUAUAAUCCUUUCAAGUUAUAAAGUGUAAAAGUUUUUUGCCCUUUCGUUUUCUGGGAUCGAACUUAUAUUUUAUCCUUACAGGAUUUGAGUUCGCUUAUCAUCUUAAUCAAUUCCUUGUUGAUGGCUAAAUAAUUUUUAAACAUAGGUGAUGUAUAAAUUCCAAAUAAUCUGUUUUUUUUUUUCCAAUGUAUUUCUUAAAUCUUUCAUUUUUCCAAUGUAUAACCUUUUAUUCUUUUCUAUACUUAAAUUUUUUCAUUACAAAAUUAAAUUUUAAGAGAAAUUUAAUAAAAAAAUUUUAAGAAUCUACAAUAAUGUUUUAAAAAAAUUGCAUUGUUCAAUAAAAGAAAUCGAAUUUUCUAAAGAAAAAAAAGGGUUUUUACUUUCAUGAAGUUCCAGUAACAUAUUUUAGUAAAAAAAUAAAUUAUUUUUAUUGUAAUGUUUUAUAAAAAGAUUCAAAUUAAAAUUUUUUUAAUAUUUUUACGAGGUGUCUAGGCUCGUUUAAUGGUCUACAAUAAAUUUGACUAAUUCGGCUCGCCUUCGAAGGCAAUUAAUUUUAUAGUCCAUUAAUUUUACUUUGAUCAUAAAAAAGUUCUGUAAAAAAAAAUUGAAAAUUUAGUGUAAAAAUUUAAAAUAAUGAUUACAUAACUUUAAAUAACAAAACAAUAAUGUUUUAUUUGUAAUAUUAGUUAUUAGUUAUAUUAGUAUUUUUUUUAUUUGAGUUGCUAGUUAUAUUAGUUGUUGUAAUAAUAAAUAUUUGAUUAAUUGUUAAAUAUUAAAUAAUUUAAAAAGAUUUAAUUAAUUAUUGUCAAACUAGGCGUUUUAAUAAGCUGGAUUAGUGAUUAGUCUGCGUUAACUUAUUUUAACCGAAGAACCGAAAAUGAUUAAGAAGGGACACCGACGAUGAAGAGAAAUUAAACCAAUAGCACACGUGUCAUAAGACGAUUGGCUAGGGUGUUCUAGAAGGUCAUAGAAGAGGAAUAGAGGGAUCCAAACUUCUGGCCGCGGUGCAAAAGUCGUUGCGGACAGCUUUGGGGCCCAGAUCCCCAACCAUAAAUAUAAAUUCAUUUCGGUUGUGGCCGCGCAAACAAACAAUUGGCAAGUGCAAAGCCUGAGACGCCGGUUUUCUUCUUUUCAGGUGAGUUCUCUUCUUCUUGUUUCUUCUUUUUUAUUUUUUGUUAAAUUUUCAACUGCGAAUCUUGGUCGUUUAGCGUUAUGGAUUAUGUGGGGGUUGUCAAUGUCUUGAUCUUUGACAGAUUUUGUGGCCAUGUGUUGUUUUUGUUUCAUUUUUGGAUGGAAUUUGAUCUAGAUCUGUAUUAUUUGGAAUGGAAGCUCGUGAAUGUUUGAUUAGCUUGAAUAAAAUUCUCUAAUUUUAUUGUGUAUUUUGUUAGGUUUGUUUUUCUUUGAUUGAUUUUUGCUAGAAAUUUUAAUUUCCGUGUGAAUUGCAGAAUCUUGGGCUCUUAUUCGUUGAUCUCGCAAUUUAUUAUGCUGACUUACUGAAGUUGCGCGCUUUUGCUUAUUUUGAAUUUGUGUUUUGAAGGUGACAUCUUGAUCUCCCAAAACAGACUUCAUUAGUUAGGACAUCUUUUGCGGUGGUAAAGACUCAAACUUUUUGUUUCCAUAUUGGAAGAUGGCUGAGGUAUAGAAUUCUUUUGUUUUUGUUUGUUUUAUAAAGUAUUAAAAUCCAUCUGUCAUCGGCAUUUGUAAUAUGCUUAGGAUUUCUAUUCAUGUGUGUAAAAUGGUGGUGGCAGGAGGGUCACAAGGUUACCUUGAAUGUGUAUGACCUCAGCCAAGGAUUGGCACGUCAUCUCUCAACAACGUUUUUGGGAAAAGCUAUUGAGGGUAUUUGGUAAGAUUUUAGUGUACAGCAGGAAGUUAAGGCAUAACGUCACUAUAUCUGCAUUGAGAAAAAGAAAAUGUUUUUGAACUAUGAUGAGAUGUAUAUGUUAAUGAAUAUUUCGUUUGUGCCAUCUUAUGAUGUAAUAUGAAUAUAAGCUUAGUUUUAUUGUUACAAUAUGAAAGUAUUCUGCAAGUACAACUCGUAUUGCUACAUAUUCAUUAGCUCUGUGGACUGUUCAGCGGAUUAAUCCUCCUUUCUAUCAUCUUGAUGGACUAAUGUUGAUUCCAAUUUGACUCGUGGAAGCAUUUUCUUAUAUUCUAUUGUUCAGUGUUUUUUCUUUAUCCAAUUUUUGUCGCUUUGGUGAUUAGUGGAGAUGUAGAGUAUACAUGAGAUUAGUUUUAGUUCUAGUGCCUUUUUGUUGAAAUGGAAAUGAAAUUUUCCUGUGGCAUGUAUUGAAAAUUGAUAGGUAGUAUUAAAAUAACGUCACAAGGAUACAGCUUUUUAUCCAACCUCUCUUCGAGGAAACGUUUGCAUAAAAUCAAAAAGUUUUAGGACAUUUGAUAAGUUCCUGUUCCUUUUUUUUCCCCUUUCUAUUUUGCUGCCUGAUUUACUUGUUCUUUUGCAUGGUAGGCACACAGGAGUAGUUGUGUAUGGUAAUGAAUACUAUUUUGGGGGAGGCAUACAGCAUGAUCCUGCUGGAAGAACUCCUUAUGGAACACCACUUAAAGUUGUAGAUUUGGGCGUCACACAUGUACCGCAGGAUGUAUUUGAAAUGUACUUGCAGGAAAUUAGCCCGCGGUAUACAGCUGAGACAUACAGUUUGCUUUCUCACAAUUGUAACAACUUUAGCAAUGAAGUUGCACAGUUUUUGGUUGGUGCAACUAUCCCAGACUACAUUAUUCAGCUGCCUAACGAAGUUGUGAACAGUCCAAUGGGUGCUCUUAUAAGUGAGUUUUCACCUACCUUUAUUCUUUGCACACUUCACUUUUUAACAGUCUUCUCAACCUAUCUGGUAUGGUGGCUGAUUGUCGAAUUUCUACCUUUUCAUAUGUAGUGCCCAUGAUACAAAAUCUGGAGUCAACAUUGAGAGCUGGAGCUGUUCCACAAGUCCCACAAUUCAGGCCUACUUCGAUGACCCAGCCCUCACCACCUGCGACAACUGCUAUUGAUAAACCCUCAGGUUUAAAAACAACUGUUAAAGCAGCUGAUGACAAAGUGGAAUCUGAAGAUACAAAGUCUGAGGGGCCAAAGGCAUCAAAGGCGUUGGUACCUCCUGCAGUCAAGCCUUCGGAAGUCAAUGGGGUUGCAGGAGAUCCUCUUGGCAAUGCUCGGAAUAAGGUGCAGGAGGAGAUAGGCCGUGAAUUUGCUGCAAUCAUGGCUACAGGCACAUUGCGAGCAAGUGAGGCUGCAGCUCUUGCAACCAGGAGAGUCAUGCAAAGAUAUGGAAAUACAAAUCUUACAGUGCAACAAAAUUAGAAAUUGUGUUUUCUUUAAAGCGAUCAGAAUUCAGAUGUAUACAUGUGCUCCCAGUGUAAGCCUAAAAUUGGCUGUAGUCUGGAAUUUGUGGAACCCCCCACCUCAUUGGUGUUUUAAAAUGCUAACUGAAUGGCACAUUGCCUGUUACUCGGUUUCUUCAGACCCUAAAUCUGUUCAAGAAUCUAAAUCUGUUCAAUGAUUUGCAUUCUAUGGUCUUUCAUUUGCUUUUUGCAUCUUUUAAGAUUUCCUUCCUUUCAAAAGAGGAAAAGGAAUACUAAAUAGAGGAUCAUUUGAAAUAUGGUCAUCUAAGCCCAGGUGGAGCAAGAGAAUGUAUAGCUACAACUGCCAAAACUUAAUAAUCCAUUUAACAACCACAAUAAAUUACAACGAAUGUCACUAACAAAAUUCUCUAGUGCCAAAUAAGGACUAUUGAACUCUAAAAAACACCAAAGCUCACUGCAAAACAGAGUAAUGAUCAAAGUGUCAAUUACUCAACAGUAGAAACAGUGAAUAGACAAAUUAAAACAAAAACAGCUACAGAAACACUCCUUACCAGAGGAUAUCAGAGAGUGGUUAUAUUUAUGUGAAAUUAAACCCAAAACCUCUAUCCUUUUUCCUCUUCUCUUGGAUAUGUUUGUGCGAAAUUUUUGCGAACAAGAUAUAGAUAUGUUUUUAAGCUAUUUAUCCCACAUCUGCUGAUUAGAACAGGAGGGGGGAAAUAAACAAUAUAAAAUAUAAAUAGCAAGCAUGAAGCAGCUUUAAAACAUACUUGGCUGGACGCGGCAAUGGGUGAUAAAAAUGCCUAGGACUAGAUCAAUGACUUCCAUUGCACUUAGGAGAGGUGCUGGUCUAAGGUCUCCUCAAACAGAGACUACCUUGUACUUUAUGGCAGUCAGGAAGGUUUCUUCUGUUCUUAAUAAGUGUGCAAAUUUCUAAAUACAAGCUCAAAGUAAUAGAUACUUUUAUUAUAAACAGUAAUUCGGGAAUAGUUUUAGUAUAUAGUAUAUAUAAUAAUAAUAAUAAUAAUAAUAUCAUAAUAUUUAUUUGGUAUAUGACACUAAAAGAAUAAUAAAAAUACAAAUUGACAGUAAUGAGCUGUGAGAAAAAGGGGCAGGGUACCCAUCCCUUUAAAGAUAAUACAUUUUUCACUCUGCGAGCAAUUUCUUUUUUGAAGCUAAAGAAUCAGAAGAUCCAUGUUACAUUUUCAACUACUCCAAGAAACACUAUGGCUGGUAUGUAUUUAUGCUUGUAACUUACUGUAAAGAUUAGUGUAUGUUUAUGCUAGGAAAUCCCUACUGUUCCUUGAGGGGUUGAUGACUGAUCUUGAUGAGUUGACCUAACAUUUUGAUUUUUCGAUUCAAUACUCGCUUCUCCAGACCGGCUAAAAGAAUCAGAAGGAAUGUUGAUUCCAGCAAAACCAAUCAUCACGGCUAUGGCUCCAAGGUAGUCCAUGAUGCCUGGGGCAUUGCCUGUUAGUGAAUCCACUAUGGCUGCCAAGGGGACCUGAAUUGUAAGACCAGCUGUUGCAACUGUGGUGGUUGUCAAAAGAACAGCCUUUGCCCAUAAAUAGUCACUCAGCACAUUAUCUAAUAAACCUGUUUAAGACACAAAAGGAAGGGAAUAAAAACUAAAGUUGAAUUCCAAUUUUUAAAGAAGCAGGUGUUUCUCAGAACAGAUAAUGCAACAUUAUUUUAUAUCAUACCAUCAUACUCGGGCAAAAUAUAAACAAGGGCUAAAAGAUAUAGUAAUUCCACCCUCUGCUUCUAUCAAUUAGAGAAAAAAAAACAUAUGGAAGAUGGAAACCAGUCAUAUGUUAUAAUGGCAUUAUGCCCAUUGCAGAAGCCGAUUAGCAUAACAUGUUCCUCUGAAAUGAAAGAUGAUCUAAUGCUGUCAUCUGGUCAACAUCGCAUUCCUUUUUUUUUUUUUUUCAUUUUUCUUAAAGAAUGAUAAGUAUGAUAACAGUGCAUAAAGAAUCGUGUGAGAGAACCAUGCAUACAGUGAUGUUCAGCAGAGCUGACCAAGAGAAAUUUCCUCCGUCGUGCAGGCAACAGAUUAUGCAUACAAGAAAGGUUAUUUGUAGAACUAGUUUGUACAGCAGGACAGAGUCAAUUUCAAAUUUGAAGAAGGUUGAUGCAUUGAGAAACUACUUUCAGAGAAUGUGCUGGCACUAAACAUCAAUAUGGAGAAUGUAAAAUGCAUACUAACGACAGUUACCACCUCACCAUGCCAAGUUUCAAACCAUGUGAGGAUUAGUGAGAUCUAUCUAUCUAUCUAUCUAUCUAUCAAUACUGCAAUUACUUAUGAUUCUUUUUCUAAAAGAGUACAAUAAAUGUACCACUGAGUUUUUUCACAAAAGUCAAAUGUGUAAAUAUGAAUCACAAACUGCAAAGAUGGCAACUAUAUCAUACAAGUUCAUUGAAAGGUAAUGUAGUCAUGCAGAUUGGCCAUUUUGUUGGUUGUGAAAGGCAUGAAACUCUAUAUAAUAAAACACAAAUGAUGAUUUAUGAAACAGGAUUUAGUGAAGAUACUAACUGCUAGGGUGCUUUAAUCACUUAUUAUUAACCUAUAUCAGGCUGCAUUAUAUACUUCAAAGAAAGUACUUAUUUCCAAGUUAACUUCUAUAUUGUAUAAUCCUAACAGAGAUGCAUUCUAUGGAAUAGUCAGAUACUUCUGGUUCAAAUAUGGUGAAUUUUGCAUCAAGUUUACACAUAGAUUUGGCACAAGUAGCCACUACUGCACUUCCCAUAUCAAAUCUUCAGGUAAGCCUAGUAACAUAUGAUCUGCUUUUGGAGGUCUACUAAUAAAUAAUGAUAUAAUUUCUUGGGAGGAUCCUUGAACUCACUGACUAACAAUGACAGUGGCUGAUAUCCCAUUGAAUACAAAAAAAAUGUUCUUGCUCAUUGAUGAAUUAGAUGGCUUAGUAUGUCAACAUCACAAAAACUACACUUAUCUAAAGAUAUUAGAAACAUAAACAAAAAAAGAACGGAUAUAGAAGUACAGAAAAAAUUGUGUGCACAGGAAAUAUUACAUGUUGUACAAUUAUAAACAGCCCAUAAUGUCAAUAAUGCAUCAGUUUCUGUUCAAGGAACAUUAAGUAAAAUACUGAGAAAGCUUUCGCUAGUAACAUAAUAUGUAUCCUGCAUUUCAAGGCAUAGACAAAAGCACAAAGUUAAACAUUGUGAAACUUUCAUUGUCAUGCAAGAAUGAAUAGAAUACAAACCUUUGCCAACAAUUAGACCAAACUGCUUCCAGGUAAGGAUAUUAAAAGGCUCUAACUUGGUGAAAUUCAGUACAAGAGCAACAGGAAGAAAAAUGAACAGGUUGAAAAGCCCUAAAUAUCCAAGAAACUGUGCCAUACUGGCAUGACCAUCUUUUCCAUCAUCAUCAUCAGGUAAUUUCAUGCGAAUAAGUGUAAUAUACACAGCGUAAAACCCUGCUGAGAUGAGAGCAAGAAAGUCUCCAAGAAGAGGGUUUGAAGCAAUUGCACUUAAACCGGUUUUUGAGUCACCCAAGCUGACAAUUAUAGUUCCAGCCAUGCAGAGAAGAACACUUAGAAGCUUCACCCAAGUGAAUGUUUCACCCAAGAAUGCCAAAGAGACCAAAAAGGUAAAAAGACUGGACGCAGUGCUUAAAAUGGUAUUUGACUGCACAAAAACAAGGCAGAAGACUUAGUCGCACCUAUAUGACGAACUAUAGACACAUGUAUAAUAAAAAUUUGAAAGAUAGCUUACCGUCACAGUAGUAUACUUCAAUGAUAGAUUGAAAGUCAACUGGGCAAAAAACCAAAAUGGGCAGAUUAGCAGGCUGACCUUCGCGACUCUAGUACGUGUCCAUCGUCUUUUGGCAUCAACUCCUUCACUAGCCUCUACAGGUAAAGUUCUUUCAACUCCAUAUGACAUAGAUUCCACUUCUGAAUCAACACCAUCUCCAUGAGGACUGUUUCCUCCCUCAUCCACGAUAGUAAAUGAAUCCAACCCAUCAGCUUGUGCACCUAAAUCACUCUCUUCCAGAAGAAUGAGCUGCUCUGACUCUCCCAGUUCUUGUAAAGGGCUACUCUUUUUAUUCCUCCAGAAAAAUAAACCACCGUAAGUAUCCUCCAAAUAGCGCCCAAUUUCAACUAGGGGAAUGUAAACCACAAACAAUGAAUUGCAAAUGUAUGUAAUUAGAAAUGGUGAAACCCCAGAAUCAACAACUGAUUGAACCACAAAACUAGCAGCUAUCCAGAUAGUUGCAACCGCAACUAUGUAUACCAAACCUAAAAUCCAUCUCCAAGCUUUAGCUUGCAUAUUUCAAAACCCAAUAUUGAACCAAAACAAGCCCUCAAUCCUACAAGAAUGCUUAAAUAUCCAUUCCACUCAAAAUUUGCCAUACACCGUGUCAAUUAAAACUGCGGAACCCAUGUCCCAUUUGCACCCAAAACCUUACCUAAAACGACAAAUAUUGGAAACAAAACAGAGGCAUAAGGAUGGCUUAAACCCAGAACCCAAUAUAAUGUUGUUAAUUACAUAACCAUCAUCGUUGAAUUGGAAAAAAAUUUUGCAUUUAAAGAGAGAAUAAGAAUCGGAAAAAAAUUGAACUCGCAUCUGUCCUACAUACCAGAAACCAACUUUGCCGGUAGAGAGGAGGCACUGCACUGUAACCAAACCAGAUCUAUCUGCGACAAGAAUGAUUGUCUGGAUCUUCCUCGCUUACUGGCUGUGGUCUUCUUUUUUGUUUUUCGGCUGCUGCAAAACGCGUGUGGAUCGUUGUCGCGGUUGAUCUAUAGAGCCGGAAUUGUCGCUCAUGGCAUGGGCUGGGCCUUAUACUUUAAAGCCCAAUAAUAGAUGACACUGCUUUUUUCAGAGUCAACAUUAGGGUGAGUGAUAACCGGAAAACUGACCCGAACCGAUCAGGUUGGUAUAGUUUUGGUUGGUUUUAAUGGGAGUAAACAAAUGGUUUUUGGUUCGGAUUUAUACAGUUGCUAACUGAUUCUUUUCCCUCCUAAAAUAGUUAAAACUCUCUUAACCAAAUCGGUUCAAACAGAAUUAUGGUUUUAUGAAAUUUUUAUUUAAGAAAAGUGUGAAUAUUCUUAUGUAAUUUUUCAAACUACUCCUAAAUUUUCAAUAAAAAUAUAAUUAUCAAUUUCUAAUAAUAAAGUUUCUUUUACUCUAAAAUUUGAGUUCUAAUAAUUCAUCACACAAAAAAAAAAAAAAAAAAAAAAAAAAAAAAAACCAGUACUGUUUGCCUCGUUAAGUUGAGAGACAUACUCAAGAACUUACCACGCAUAUUGUUUGAGCUGUCAAGGGACAAUCUCUUUCCUUAUUUUACAUAAUUUAUGGUCUAUUAAUUGGAAUUAACUGUUUUAUUAAUUGUUAUUUGCAGCAGUAGUUGAUAGAUGUUUAACUAGCGUUUCACCAAAGUAAUUCCAAUUAAUUAUUUAACAUAAAAUGACAAAAAAUGAUAUUACUUGUUUAAUUAGUUGAAUUUGAAGAAAAAAAAAUAAUGAGUAUGAUUUUUAAAAAAUAAUUAAUUAAUCUUUGUGAAAUGCUAAGCGUUUCAUAAAAAGUUUGAUUAAUCUCUGAAAACUAUGUUACCGAACGUUAUAAUUAAUAGAAACAGAGUUAAUUUUGAUUUGGUCAAAAUGCUAAAAGUUAGUUUAAAAACUAGUGCUGAAUCAUGAUCCAUGAUCCAUCAUCGACAAAAGAUAUUUCUCUUUCUCUUAUAUUAUAAUACGAGCAAAAGAUUUUGAAUUUAAAUCAUCUCGAGUUUUUAUCAAUUUGAUGAGUUAAUAAAAAGAUUAUUUCUGUUUUGUAGUUAAUAAUAUUAUUUCGAGUUAUUUAGCCUCUUACUCAAUAAAAAAAAUUUGUAAUUUGGCUACUUAGUAUUUUCAAAAAAAAUCUAGCUACUUAAUUUAUGACAUAAAUAAAUUGAAAUUAAAUUGAAAUUGUAGUUUAUGACAAAAUUUUUAAAAAUACUUAAUUGAAAUUAAAUAUUCAAAUUUAAUUAUACGUGUCAUUUAUGACAGAGAGAUAUCGUACAACACAUGUAGUCAGUUGAAACUUCUUGUUUUUUUUUUUUUUAGCCCUUUUCUGAAAUAUCAAUGAGCCUCACAAGUACAAGCAGAACAAAUGAAAAUUGACCAAAACUUGUUUUCCUUGAUUUUUGCACAUCAUCUGUAAUUCAAAUAGAAACAUUUGAAGCAAAUCAAGCCAAUCUUAGUUAUAUAUAUGCAUGCUUGUCUCCAAAGAUCAUCCUUUUACAUUUCUUCAUGUACCUCCAUCUUCUUUUUCUUCAUCUGUGAUCACAUCUUCUUCUUCAACAUGUAUUCUUUUUCAGAAUUAACACGAAGAUAGAUAGAUAAUACAUUACAAGGACGUAAUACUUGCAGACUGCUAUGCUGUACUCUUUAAAUUUGAUCCCCAUUCAAAGGCUUCUGCAACUGCCCGUUGACGUUCAAGCAUAGCUUCUUCAUCAUCUGCUGCCGUUUCAGAUGACGGAGAAGGGAAAGACAUAUGAGAAACAGCUGCUUCUGGACCCGCUCCAAGAACAGUAAGAGCACUCACUACAUCGCUUAUCAAGGGGCGAACUGGAGCUUCUUCUUGUAGACACAUGGCUGCUACUGCUACUGCUUGAUUUAAGGCUCUAACUGGGUAAUCUCCACCAAGAACUGGGUCUGCAAGUUCUGGGUAUCUAUUUGGUUCCUUGAACAUUGGUUGUGCCUAUAUAUUUUAAAAGAAAAACCAAGAAUAUUUAACCAAAUGAUUUAACUUCUAAUAUAAAAUUAAUGAUGCAAGAAAAAGAAGGGAAAUUAAUAAUUAAAAAGGAUUGUAGUUACCCAGGUGACAAGAUUUUGCUCCUGAGUUGGUUUGGCGGUGUCAAUAACUCUUCUUCCAGUAAUCAACUCCAGUAAAACAACUCCAAAACUGUAAACAUCUGAUUUAACAGUUAACUGGCCAGUUCUCUGAUAUUCAGGGGCACAAUAACCAUAAGUUCCCAUAACUCUUGAAGAAACAUGACUCCUAUCCCCCACAGGGCCAAGCUUUGCCAGCCCAAAAUCAGACAAUUUUGCAUUAAAUUCUUCAUCCAGCAAAAUAUUUGCUGAUUUUAGAUCUCUAUAUAUCACAGGGGGAUUUGCUUUAUCAUGCAAAUAUUCUAACCCUUGAGCAGCACCUAAUGCUAUUUUCAUUCUUGUGAACCAAUCUAAUGGCUUUUGUCUUGGUGGAAGAUCUAAUAGAUGGUCUUCAAGAGAUCCUGCUGCCAUGUACUCGUAAACAAGAAGCCUUUGAUCUCCAUCAGCACAGUACCCAAUAAGACUUACGAGAUUCUGAUGGUGUAAGAGACUCAACAUUAACACUUCAACGAGGAAUUCUCUAUUUCCUUGCAAUCCAUUCCUGUCAAGUUGCUUCACAGCCACUAUCUGGUUGGUUUUCUCAAGCUUUCCCUUGUAAACUCUUCCAAACCCACCUUCUCCGAGUAGACAUUCCUGUCUGAAAUUCUUUGUAGCAGUUGCUAAUUCACGAAAAUUGAAGCUUUGUGCAGCGAUAUUGCCACCUUCUUUGUUGCCAUUGCUGUUAUUAUGAUUACUUGCGUUGUCCUUGGUUUUGUGAAGUUCAACUUGGGCCUUUGCUUUAGGAUUAUCUGUACAAUAAAUAAAUAGUUAGUAAAGCUAGUUUUGAUUGGAUUUAACACAAUGCAGGGAAGUAAAUGAGUUGCUCAAGGAUUAGCUCUAAAAAAAUUGUUUAAUAAGUUUAACAAGGAGCUUGCUUGUUAAGCCUGUUUAAUAAACGAGUCAAGCUCGAAUUUUAUAACUCAGAAUCAUAAGCCUGAGCUCGAAUAUACCUUUAACAAGCCCUACAACAGACCUCAAGAUAUUAGUAGAAAUACUUACCGGAAGGCUGUGAUGCAAUAUUGUUUUCUUUACGAGGAGAGAUAAGACGGUGAGACUCUGAUCUUUUGGUGCUAUUGGACCUUUUGGCUGCUUUCUUUUCUUGUGAUGAAAAGCAUGGAAAACAAGUCAUUUUUAAAGAUUGAAAUCAACUUUGUUUCUUCUUUCCAACAACCUUUCCUUCUUUUGUUCUUUUUUGAACAAAAGAAUUAAAAGAAAAUUUUAAAAUGGGUUAGAAGAAAAGGAUAUACUCAAUCAGGAAGAAAGAAACACAAGCCAAAGAAUACAAUUAAUUAACUUCCAAAGAAUGUGGAAUGCACGUAGCAGUUAAUUAAUUAAUUAAUUAAUUAUACAGUUGAAGACCAUAUAUGGUAACAAGUAAGAUUUGAUUGAAUACAAUUCAAGAAAUGAAUUCAAUCAAAUGAGCCAACCCUACAAAGAGGCCACAAUCAAGAAAACAAAAAGGAUGGGAAGAAAGGCUUAAUAAUCUUUCUUUAUAUGUGUUUAUAAUAAUCUUUCUUUAUAUGUGUUUUCUUUUUUUCCUCCCAGUAGUAAAAUCUUAACAUAGAAUUAUAACAUAUAUUUAAUGUUAAAUGGGUAUCAUGAUGAGGAAGAAGAAGAAGAAGAAGAGGAGGAUGAGGUUUUAGGGUGCAGCCUGGUUAACAAAAACACCAGGCUAAAUCAAAAACCUAAAAAUUAAAACUAAUGUCAAAGAUUUUAAAAAAAGAUUAGUACAGAAAUUAAUUGACUAAAAUAGGAAAAGAAAAUUGGGUAUGGAAUUUGUUUGAGGUUAGCGCAGAAAUUGGAGAUGAAAGUACUGAAUGAGAGGGGUUGAAGGCACUAUUCUUUGGUGGUAUAAUAACACAACCGUUAUGUUAAGCUGUGUUUUUGUUGUAUUAUGACAAGAAUAGAAAGCUGAAAACCAAAAAAAUUUCGACCUCUGAGAGAAUCUUUAUGUCUAUGAUCUUAGGAGAUUAAUUAGUUAAUGUGAUAAGCAAUCUCAAUUCCAAUAAUCAUAAUUAAUAAUAUUUAUUAUUAUUUGACAUGUCCUAGACUAAAUUUCUAUUAAAUUUACACCACAGAUGUUUUAAAAAAAUGAGGCUGGAUAUACCAACAAUACGUUUGCGGACCAAAAAGAGUUUCUGGAGUUCAUCGAGCUAUUUGUAUUAUUGUAUAUACAUUCUGUCUUAAAGGUUGAUAUCGUUUUUAAUAAUAAUAAAAAAAAGAUUGAUAUCUUUUUUAGGGUUCUAAAUUUUGCACUUACAUGCUUAUAUUAAAGAAAAAAUAACCCUAUAAUAAAAAAAUUAAAGGGAGUUAAGAAACAUACAACUGUACAUUAAUGGAUAAUACUCUGUUUAGACGAGUAAACAACUGUAUAGAUAUGUAUUAUCCGUACCAACGACAUGCAUCCCUCGACGUGCAGAGAAGCAGAAGCAGUAAAGUAAUAUAAAACAAUAACUCUCGAAUCCUAAUGCAUGCAUGCUUUUGUGAAGAUGAUUUGAGCAAUCUUUGAAACUUUUUCUAACUGGGCAAUCGAAAACUUAAUUAACCUCAAAGAAAGAAUUACUCAUAAAAUUAUUUUUGUUUAUAUAGUACAUUAAAAUAAAAAAUAAUAUAUUCACUGUAAAAUCUUAAAAAUAUAUAUAUAAAUCAUACUUCAUAAUAAAUACAUUAUUGAAAGGAACUGAAGAAGAAUUUUCUUCCAAAAAUACUUUACCCUUCUUAUUCUUUUUUAAAUACAACAAUAACAUUAACUAUAGUUACCCUUUUCUAUUCUGACAUUAACAAGGCUAAAAAGCAAAAAGAGCAAGUAUCUCAUAUAAUCAGGCACAUGAACACAAAUAAUUUCCUAUUGAAUAUCUAUUGAAGUGUAUAACCUGGAAAAGUCAUUAGAAACCCCGUCUAUCCAUUUCUAUUUUGGAUUAUCCAUCUUCGGAGGUCUGAUAUCGAAUCGAAAACAGGAUUGGCAAUGGAGGUGCAUUCAGCUUCUUACCUUCACUCUGGCUUCUUCUCCAAGAGCCAAAUGGCAAACACAUCAAAAUCAGUGUAGUUGUAAACUAGCGGUAAUUAUGUUUCAAGUGUUACAUUGACUUCGAUUGAGGAAUUGGUUAAGAUGAUAUCUUUUCCAUUAUCAGAUUUUGGGUGAUCAAGACAAUCCAACUUGAUCCUCACAUGUAAUGGUUUCAUAAGAAUGAGGUCCUUCAAAUCAGCAUUUGAUUUUAACAAGAGUUGAAUGCAUGAAUCUCUUCCAAUUCCUCCUCUUUUCUCCGGGUUCAGAAUAUCAGCUAUCCUUGCUGCAUCCUUCUUCUGACUGUCUUCUUGUAAAUCAGGGUUUCUUCUAAGUUUUAGAUAUAAUGCAGCAUAUAUAAUAACCUGUUAUAUGAAUAAAAUAAAACAAACAGAUAUUAGUACUAGUUUUGAACUGUGAGCCUGCUCAGAAAUCAGGUUGAAUCCACAUUCCAGUUACUGAUUGCAGCACUUCGAAACAAUCUUGCUUUUCUCACUAUUAUUUCUGUUCAAUAGAGAAGCGAGUCCACUGUAAAAGAUAACUCCCUAAUUAUGGGAUGAACUUCCCCUUUAUUAUUGCUAUUAUUUUCUUUCUAUUAUUAUUACCUAAAAGCACUUAUUUACACCCAAAUUAGGCAAGGUCCAACAGACACCUAAACAGAAAGAAAGAAGAAAUAAGCAUAAUAUCUAACAAGCAAAGAGUACAAAUAACACGCAUACCUCACUUGUUCCAGGACUUGUAUUGACAGAACAAUCAAUGUGAACUCUACAAUCUUCAGAUUUAAUUUCUGAAGUUGUGUUACUGCUUUCAACAAUCAUCUCUGGUUCAGGAGAUGAAAAGGCCAGAUUAUCCAAAUCAUCAUACCACUGUUGGGCAACACCAACCUGCAAAGAUGCACCCACAAAAUGGAGUAAUCAGGCACUAGGAAAAAAUUUAACUUACCAGACCAAAUGAAAAAUCAUCAGCAUCAAAAAGAAAGUGACAAGUGAAAAGGCAAAAAAAAAAAAAAAAAAAAAAAAAAAAAAAAAAAAAAAACUAUAAAUCCUUNNNNNNNNNNNNNNNNNNNNNNNNNNNNNNNNNNNNNNNNNNNNNNNNNNNNNNNNNNNNNNNNNNNNNNNNNNNNNNNNNNNNNNNNNNNNNNNNNNNNNNNNNNNNNNNNNNNNNNNNNNNNNNNNNNNNNNNNNNNNNNNNNNNNNNNNNNNNNNNNNNNNNNNNNNNNNNNNNNNNNNNNNNNNNNNNNNNNNNNNNNNNNNNNNNNNNNNNNNNNNNNNNNNNNNNNNNNNNNNNNNNNNNNNNNNNNNNNNNNNNNNNNNNNNNNNNNNNNNNNNNNNNNNNNNNNNNNNNNNNNNNNNNNNNNNNNNNNNNNNNNNNNNNNNNNNNNNNAGAAAAAAAAAAAAAAAAAAAAAAAAAAAAAAAAAAAAAAAGACUUGAAAACCUUCUCUGAGGACCCUGCUACAUCCUGUAUUCCUAAAAUUGCAGCCCCUCUUGCCUGGCGCCAUAUGCAUCCUUCUUGUAACGGUUCAACAAGCUCAAAAUCCACAGGGAUUUCUACAUUUAACUGUAUGUUAAUCCUACCUGUCAUAAACACACCAUCACUGAAAUUCAACAAGUAAUUUUUUGUAAAAUCACAUCUUACAUAAUCUCCAAUAAACUUGGGACAUGAAAAGUUAAUGUUGUUGGCAUACAAGCCCUUGUCUGCAACUGCAUUUGUGUGUGUGCGUGUGUAUCUUGUUCUCUCAAUUGGAAUGGGAGGAUAUAGAUUGCUGUAUGUACCAAAUUACAGAUUCGUUCAAGGACUAAAUGCAGCCCAAAAAUAUUAUUCUAAGAAAAAGGCAACUAGUUCACCAGGAAGUAUAGUCUUACAACAAAUCAGAAACUCGUUUCAGUAUUUGAUGUGCAGAAAUUUGCAAUAAUGAAAGGUAAAAUAACUAAGGGAAAAAUAUAAUUGGAUUACCAAUAAAUUCGAUUUUCAUUGACAUUAUGAUAAAUAUCUUGCAGGAAAUAAAAUUGAACCUUUCAAGCAAUUAGCUUUCCUAAUACUAUUGAUAUUGUUGGAAAAGUUCCCGUGUUAUCCAUAAAUUUGAUGAUUCUUACAUGCAAUGCAAAUUCAACAAAACUUCAAUAGAGACUUAACAAGGUGUGUAAACAUAUGCAUGCAGGUUAAGGUUUUUACUCAGGAUGAUAUUUUCAUUAAAAGUCAAUCUACCAUGUAACCUUGGAUCUUCAUCAUCAAGCUCAUAAGAGAAAUAUUGUGUUUGAGAAAGCAUAAAUAAAAUUUCCAUUAUAAAGAUAAAAAAACAGAACUCAGUCCAACGCAUUUCCCUAGACUUUUAGGUUAACAACUGAAGUUUGUUACGGCAAAAUAUAGCAAUAAAAUGUCUUUUCACACCAGAAAUACAGAAACCAACUACUGUCAACAAUAAUAUACCUGGCAGCAUGCUAAAACGUUGGACAUGAUCAGGACAUCCUCUACGGGGUGAAACCCUAUCAAACCAGAGAAAAUUUAUCAAAAGCAGUAGGAGAGGUUCACUGUGAAACAAUUUUACAUGCAAAUGCCAUAUGCCAGGGGAAAAAAGGAGAGAGAAAGGAAAAGCAUUCACAUGAUACACCUACAUUGUUUGAAAGGAAAUAAGUUUGGAGAAAGUCACCCUCCCAAAGUAAUUCAGAAGCUUGCACAAAACUCAGUUUUAAAGAGUAUACUGACUUACUCAGGAUAAACAUUCUCCAAUCGAAACGAUGGCCAAUAUGGAAAUCCAAGGAUCCCAAAAUUUGAAAACUGGAAGAUUGAAUGGACUCUGGAAUCGCUAUUUAGUUUCAGCACUCUCUGUGCAACUUCAAUGAAAUGUUGCAAUAUAAAUGUGUAAUAACCCAAAAAAACAAUAGAUAAACAUAAGAAAACAGAUUAAUGUGUUAAGUACCUGUGUCACAGACAACUAUGUAAUUUUCAAAAGUUGUUAUAGAUGAUAAAAGACUAGCAAACGGAAGACCCUCUGGAGAAAAAUUGGCAUCAAUCUGCAGUUUUAGCCAAUCACUUGGCAUUUGUUUCAAGAGUGAUACUUUCUCCAUGAUCAACUGCCCACAAGUCUCCAAAAUCUUUGAAAAUCCUUUCCAAUAUUUAAAUGAGCAAAUAUCAGAUGUACAUAUUGACUGACAAAUCAAUAGAGCUAAGAAAGAUAUGGUAAACUAAUUUCAAACCUUUGAUAGAUUCUUUUAUUUCUCCUGAAGCCAUAUCCAUGAUCCACAGGGUUUCAAAGCUGCAAACGAAAACAAAUAAACCUUGUAUCAUAGGUUCCUAAAUGAAACCAGGAAAGAUUAAAUAUGAAGGUCACAAGUAGGAGGCCUUAAUAAUUGGACUUAGUUAAAUGGAGAUGAAUUAAUAUAAAAGCAUUAUUUGCAGAAGGCAACCUACAGUAAGGACAGCUGGCCUUGGCUAAUUGAAGGACUUGAAGAAUUAGGAUGGUCUUUGUCAAACAAAACUAAACUUUUCAUGUAUGAUCAAGAGGCAAUGUCAUUCCUCAUUUCUAAAAAGCAUCCGAUGUCAGUGUACUCUUUGAAGACAUUGAUAUUUCACUACAAAGAAUUAGCUUUAUUUUGGUUAUUGGUUGCAAUAAUCUUUAGAUCAAGUUAACUUGAAAGAUUUAUUACUCAAAAUUCACACUGUUGUUGUAACCUAAAAUGAAAUGAUGUAAACAUAGGAAUUUCAAGCAUAUUAACAAUUGUCAUUGAAUAUUAUAGAUUGCAAUGCUUUACUACUGUAUAAAAACGGAAAUAGCAAGCAUAGUGCCUUCUUAUCAUAAAAAAUUAGAAACAAGGAAUCAUCCUUUACCUGCGGUUGAUGAUAAAGAAACUAUCAUCUGCUGACUUCAAAAGAUGCCAUGGAAACACCCGCAAUUGGGAAUCAAAUUCUUUGGAGUUUGAAUCAAUGUUGCUUGAAAAACCCAUUUUAUUCAUAAUCCAAGUCCAUAUACUACUAUCUUUUUUACUGACGCUACAAGUGGGAUAAAGAGUCUCUAAGACCCGCCUCUCCAUAUCAGCUCGUCUGAUGGCUUGGUUCUUAGGAAUAGCAAUCAAUAAAGGAAAAUAAUAAGUCACAAAACAAUGUUGAAGUAGAAAGAUUAAAUGCCAAGUACUUCUUUGAAGAGGAUGCCCACAAAAUAAAAGCAAAUUCAAAUUUGUUUUUAAAGCAAUUGCUUCAUCUGCAACAAAUCAGUGACAUUAAUAUCAGAGAAAUUUAAGGUCCAUAAGCAUUAGUGGAGAGAAGUAAUAUAACUGUAACUCGCACUAUUCCCAUUAUUAUUCUAUUGAAAUCAUCACUUAUGAAGAUAGCUGGUUCAGCAGAUUAAUUCAAAAGUUUCAUCAUACUAAUUGCUAUAGACUUUGAUCUAAGAAUGUUCAGCAAAACACUUGACAGUAUCCGAAUUGAAACAUCAAAUCUAAGAAACCCAUAAAUUUCAUAAUGUUGUAAAUCACCCAUUCAAAAGCUUCUGGAUGAAUACCUCUGAAUCUACAAUGUACAGACAAUCUUCAGCAUCAUGAUAAAAGGAAGCUGCAGGACGCAGUAGCUUGGCAGACUCAAAUUCACCAUCUUCAAAACCUGGGCAAGAACCAAUCUGACAUAUAAAAAACGUAAGUCUAAAUCUACGCUUUCAUUUCAUCUUAUAUGCUCAUCUUUUAGCGUUGCAAUUGCAUGCACUUAAUAAGGAUAAUAAAAAAGCAAAGCAAAUAGGUCAUAUGAGAAAAUCAUAGAAAAUUCAAUGAGUGAUAGCCAUUGAAGCCUUAAAAUACAUACACAGUCCAUAAUCUUCCCAUUUCUAUCAAAUAUGAUAAUCCGAUGAUGAUUGCUGUCAGAUACAAAUAGGCGAUCACCACUUUCAUCUGCAGAGAUGCAACCUGUGGAAGAAAACAGAUGGCUAUACAAUAUUGGAUUACUUUAGCACACAACAUAAAGUCAAAUAAAUUACAUAUGAGCUGAUCACAGUGGUGGGACUAAUUAUUAAACCUAUAACAUCUUGUAAAUAGUUAUUCAGUUAGGUUUUUGAUGACAAAAUUUUUAAGCAUUUGACUUAAAAGGCUUGGUGCAGCUCUCUUCUCUCAAUCUUUCUUUCAUCUGCUGGAUUUUAAGAUAUCAUGCAUCAGAUGAAAGAAGCAGCAGUAGCAAGUUAGCAACUGAAUUGCAUGAUACCCUAAAAAAGAGAUACAACUACAAGGUAAGACAACAACAGGCCAUGCAAAAGAAGCCUCUACCUGGAAAGUAGAGGAGUAAGUUUUGCAGAGAAGAGGACAACUCUGGUUCCUUAAUGACCUCAGCUUGCUUCACCCAAGUUCUUUUCAAGUUGCGACUGAGAUUCCCAUUCUGUUGAACUUGUAACUCCUCAAUGCCUGCAAAGGCAUCAAGUGAGAAAUUAAACAUAUAUAUAUAUAUGCAAGUAUGUGUAAGUGUGUUUGCAUAAAAAUUGUGCAUAUGAUGUUUACAUGCAGACCUAUAGAUACCAAAGUUCAUCAAGUUGUAGUCAGAUCCAAACAAAAUUCAUAGAAAAAGCAUUCAAACCAAACACAUAAAAAGAUAAUAAUGAACAAAGAAGAGGAAAAUGGUUAGACAAUUGAUAAUAACAUUGAAAAGGAAAGACAGUGAAUAGAUAUUCCGCUUAAACUCCAAUCCGAGUCACAGGGAAUGGAAUGGAGAGGAAAAGACAAAGAUUCUGGCACGACAUAAAAAGUACAGAAAAAAGAGGUGGAGCAGCUAGCUCAACUUAGACUUAACAUUUACUUUCAAGCUUCCUAUUAUUUUAUGCUACAUCCACAACUGCUUACAAACUUAUCCAAAUUCAACAUAUUAAGCUUCAAAAGUUCUUUACCUUAAUAAAAAUGAACCAAAAAUACAGCCUGCGAGAAAUAAAACCUUGAGCUAAUAACUUGAAGAACACUCAAUUGAUCCUUGCAGCAAAUUAAUUCUUAAAUACAAGAACUCAAAAUACUUGCUUGGCAGGUAAUUUGCAUAAUCUCAAGUUCUUUGAAUUGUAAGAUGGUGAUAGGCAAAGCAUUAAGGUUAGUUGAAAUGCGGAAUUCACAUAAGAAACGUUCCAUGUAUGAUAAAAAUUCCUCACCUGUAAGCAUAAAAAUAUGAUGUUGCACAAGAGAAUUCUUUCCAUGUCAGGUAGAAAAAACACAAGCACAUACCUUUACUAACCAUUCCAAGAUCCAAAUCCUUCUCAUGAUAAAUAACAGGAUUCAUAAAAUCUCUAAACAAAAUGCAGCAUGCCUUGUUUUCCAUCUAAAUACAUGAAGAAGCAAUGAGUUAGCCAUACCACAAACAAUUGUGAAAAUUUAAGAAACAGUAAUAUCAACAAAAAAACUCAACUAGCAAUUUUCAAAUAAAUUAAUAAAUAAACAAACAAAUGAAGGCUUACGAAAUAAUUGCAAUUGAAAAUAGGAAAGGUAACCACGUGUAUGAAUCCAAAAUACUUUUGACUUAUCUUACAUAUGCCACAUGCAUAAUGAAAUGAGUCGAUUAUAUGAAUCCUUUCAUGCAAUUCCUCUCUAUUUAAAGUAAAGUUUACUUUUAAUCAGUAAAUAUUUACAUACCUUUGAGAAAUUUCUUAUUUGUCAACAUGAUAACCACAAACACCUUCCAAUUAGCCAUUUAUCAUGUGCAUUACACAUGUUGCUUUUAUGAUAAGCACACAUAUAUUUAUGCAUUCAAUUUUCUCACAAAAUUGAUAUACUUGUACAAUCCAAAUACAGGAAAUUUAAAUUCAUCCCCCAGCAUAAUUUUUAAUCAUUAAUUUAUUAAAAUUAAAUGUAGGUAUUGCAGGAAAAAUCUACAGCACUUGAUAUUAAAUUUACUAAAGCAUAUUUUUUGUAUAUGUAUUCUUGUUUGUCAUCUUGAAAAAGUAUAAAUAUAAGAUAGCGAAAAAAAAUAAAUGAAAAAUGAAAAAAAAAAAAAGCACAAACGCACUAUGUAUAUUGGGGAUUAUGAAUAUACACCUCUAAAAAGUUCUUGCUUGACAAUAAGAUGGGAAAUGUAAUGUACUCCUUCAUUAUCAAUUCAACAAGGUUAGCUUGAUCAGCAGCAGAGCCAAUCGAAGCUCCACAAUGCAAACCCAUAAUGCAAAGCUGUGGAUAUCUAACAUGGCAAAAAAUAAAAUAACGUCCUCAGAGUGAAUCAUCUGGCAAACCAGACUCAUCGAAUAAAAAAAUUACAAAAAAAAUAUCACAUAUUUGGCAUUUUCUUACUUCUGAUGAAGUGACUUGAUUUUUUCAAGAAUACCAGCUAUUGCAGAAUUCCCAAGGAACUGUCCAGCAAGGACCAAAAAGGUUCCAUCUUUCUUGAAAUAACCGUUAUCUCCUUCGACCUUAUUUAACCAGCAAUGAUCGGGGCCUAUACAAGUCAUUUAAAAAAUUCAAUAAGAAUCCAUUUAAAUUGCUGCUAGAAUAUGCAAUUUAUACUUGUCUACUACUCUCCAAUUUGAUUUUUCCUCUGGCUUAGAAAAAAUAUAAAACAUAUUUAAAAAGUCUAGUAUAAAGAAUAACUAGUUUUAAAAAAAGAAAAAACCUUGAAUCUUAUCAAAUGUGGAUUGGAUGAAGAACAAUAUAUCAUCCACUGGAGAAGGAGUAGACUCAUUUGACACUUGUGACAUUGUUGGGUACCUGAAAGUAACUGCCAUUGAUAAGUUAGGAACUGCCCAGAAAAAGGGGGGGAAAACCUAACUGAAUUCAAAAGGCAUUAAAGAAAAAAUAAGACACAACAGAUUACCUUUGCGAAUGAAAUGCUUUGUCUAUAAUCCCCAUGUAACUGAGUUUAGUAUCAAGUGAGUAAGGCACAGGGAUUAAAGAGCAAGCUGAAAAGAAGUUAACGGCUUCUCUAGAUUGCAGUAAGUAAUUACCUACAAAAGAAAACAACGAAAAUUAUGCAGAAUAUUUAGAAACUACGAUGAAGGCUGAUAAUCGAUUGCAAAAUUAAAAAAAAAAAAGAAAAAGAAUAGAAUAAAUAAAAUUUUUGAGACUGACCUGAGAAAAUGCGAGGCAACCGCCAUGAAAUUUGUUUCAAGCGCCGAUGUCUGAGAAACAUUUUCUAGGAAAAUUUCUGUUUAGUUGGAGUUAGACGAAAAUGGGUAUAAGCAUAGGCGGGAUAUUUUCUUUUCCCGUGUAGGGUUUAAGCCGCCGGGUUCCUGAAUCAAACGGCGUGUUUCACUGUCCGGGUUUGCUACCAGCAAAAUUUGAUCUAACCGUAGGAUUAUAAAUGACGGAAGAGGUUGGAUUCGAUAAAUCCUUCACUCCAAUUUAUUCAUUAAACUUAUCGAAAUUAACUACUGUUAAACUCGUUUAAUAAAUAAAUCAAGUUGAAAAUUAAUUUAUUAUCUCACUGACCAAUUUUAUAAAUCAAAGUUAAUUAAACCUAUAAAAAAACAAUCUUUUAUUUAGGAUUUUCAAUUUUGACAAGUCGAGCUCAAAUCGAUUAAAACUCGACUCGAUUUAACUUGUUUACAACUCUAGUCUGUAGUUGGACAUUGGAUUGGGUCGAUCGGUCCGCCUCUCGAUGUGCACUUGUAGUCUCAUCCGUUGUGCGGGCUGUGGCUUAACUUGGUGUGACGAUGAUUCUCUAUCUCAGCCAAUUGAGUUCCAAAUAUCUGGUAUAAAAAAAUAUAAAAAAAGCAAAGAGCUUUUCACAAUUUUUUUAUUAUACAAGCAAAGAUUUACCUCCAUGAAAAGGAUGAUUCAUUCGAAUCAACAUGAGAGUCCAACUGCAUUGUAUUGCUAUAAUCUAUUUUGUAUAUUUGAAAUAGGUUGACCUCCUUACUUCUCUCAUGGUACAAUCCUUUUAUCGCUGAGCCCAUUUCUCCUCGGUCCAUAAAGACAAAAUAAAAUGUAAAAUGUAGAACUGAUGACAACAGUUCAUCACGGAAGAAAGAACUCAUUGAGCCGUCAUCGUUCAUCGGGUUCACUGCGGCUUAGUGAACGUUAACGGGGCUCAAAUGAGUGUGAACAUGCCAAAUCGAUGGACCCCAACAAAUACGCAUUUUUCACCGGCGCUUCAUGGUGCAGGUUGUGGCUGCCUCGUUUAGAUUAAUAUUAAAAGAUGACCAUUUGAAAUUAUAUUAAAUCACAUUUUUGUCAAUAUAUACAAGUAUUUAGCCUUUCAAAAUACUUUAAAAAAUAUUUAACUCUUGAAAAUUGAAAUUAUAUUUUCAUUGAAAAACUAAAUAAUAUAAUAAAAUUAAAUUUUAUAAAUUAAAAAGUGGAAAAAAAGAGACAAAAUUAUGAUGAUGAUAAAUUUUGAAAAACUACAUAAUUAUUUACUCAAAUAUUACUCCCUCCAUCGUUUGCUUGUUAUUUUUUUUAUGUUUCAAAAUAUUUGUAAGGUUUCUAAAUUUAGAGAAUGUAAAUAAUUAUUUUUUCUAUAAUAACAUUUAUGAUUGUUCAUUAAAUAAAUGACUUUUAUUACUAUCUUAACGAGUGAAUAGUAAAAAAAGACAAAAUAACUUUUAUUGACUAAAUUCUUAAUAUGCGUAUUUUGUCAAACCAUACAAACAAAAUCAGACGGAAAUAUAAUGUUAUAAUAUUUUUAUAGCGUUACAUUGGCUUAUAAAAAUCUGAAAAAAAAAAAAGGAAUUAGAAUUAAAUUAAUGGAUUAGAUUUAACACCAAAUGAGUUUUUUUUUUUUUUUUUGCCCUUUUCAAUUAUAGAUAUUUAUUUAUUACUAUUGCUGAUUUCAUUGGGCCCAAAUGGGUCUACGACCCACUUCUUCUAAGAGAGCCACGAACAAGAAAACCAAUCUGGCCCAAUCUAUGGAGCAUCAUAUUAAUUGUCGUAAUACGGUCUCUAAAUUAUCUAGAAUGUACCUCUUUCUGUGGUGACUUGCUUCUUUGUACGUGAUGGAGACCGGAAUUGUAAUCUGAUUCUUUUUCUUCAUGUAUAAAACUUUCUAUAUAAGAGGGUUCAUUAUUCGUUUUUCACAAAAUUAAAUUACGAUACAUCCGUGAUGCUUCAUUUAUCUUCUGUGCCGAUUAUUUUAUAAUUCGUCUUGACAAUCUGAAUAAUAUUCGAUUGCAGUGAAGGAAGUUCAUCUGUUACAUUAAUGAAGGGGAUGUCAUUAAUUUUCAUCUUGGCUAUAUAAGUAAACAAAGAAUUAAAAUUAGUUAGUGCUAAAAAGCCAUAAUUAUGUUUUCAAGUUCUAGGCUUGUUAAAAAUAUUUGAAUUUAAAAGCAUAUUGUACGGUAGCCUAAAAAUAAAAAGAAAGAUCAAUGAUGAAUUUACACUGUAACUAUGAACUAGGCUAUAUAAUCAUUAUAUGACUCUUAUUUGGAUUUACUUAACCUACACUACUUUAUUGUCUAUCGUUAUCCAAAUUAUACACACUAAUGCUUUUGCUUUAUUGAUUAGACAACAACACAAACACACACUAAAUGCAGGAAAUUUGAUGAAUCCCUAUGUUUUAUAAAUACGAAAACGGAAAAAAAUGUGAAAACUUUAAUGUUAAUGGAAACUGAUAUAAAAAAUGACAUUUAAAAUAUAAUUUUAUAUAAAAAAUAAUAUUUUAUGUAGAAAAAUAGACACACAAAAACAUUUUUGAAACACGAAAAUGCCUGUGGUUAAAAGUUUACGUGCAUCAUAAAUAAAACCAUAUUAUUAGUUGGUGUGCUCCAGCAAAGACAUUGACAUGACUUAGCAUAGAUAGGAGAUAAUACCCAUUUAAUUAUUUCAAAACCUCCUCUAUAUAUAUGUCUUAUAGGUAACUGCUUCAUAGCUUUGCUCACCUCUUAUUGCUUCCAUUAUUCAAUACAUAGCUGGAUGUAAAUUAAACCCUUAAGGCUAUAGCUAUAUACAUCAGGAUUUUAGGUUCUCAUGGUAAUUGAGUACUCUUAGUUGUUGUUGUUUCAAUUCUUUCCUAUAUAUGCGCUCUAGCUAGCAAGCAUCGCAUCUUCCUUCUCCCAUAUGAUAUCCUAACUUUUAUUUCUUUUUUCAUGUUCAACAGAAAAAGUAUGGUUAGUGAAGUUAUGUAUUUAUAGAGAAUACAAAUUCUUUUCCCACAAAUGUGAGUUGGUUCGAGCGAAAGGGGCUCGGUCACAUUAGGCAAGCGAAAGAUUCGAUCCAGAUCAUAUGUAUAGAGAAAAUUCACUUGCAAAAGGUUCAUGCUUUAAUGUAUAACAAUAUCUUGAGGAAAUUAGUCAUCACUUUUCCGGCGGCGGAUAUUCUGAAGCAAUUUUGAAAAAAAAAAAAAAAAAAUCAUGUUUCCAAGCUUGAGUUGGGAGGUGCAUUUUUUCAUGGUUUAUGCUCACAUUUGAAAAAAAAAAGAUGUAAAAGGGUUGCAAAUUCAAAAUAAGCAAAAAGAAGGGUUUAAACCAAAUAUACUUCUCCAAUUAUGACAUAUGACACAAUUUUGGAUAAAUUGAUUGAAACUGCCAAGCAUAUUCUCUCUUUCUCUGUUUUCAAGUUUUUGGUAGGCAUUUUUGCUGCCGUACACUACUAUUGUCAUGCGACAACUAAGAGAAUAAAAAAAUAUCAUGCACCUUAUCCCUCGAAAAUAUAUAUAUUGAAUUAAUUGAAUUAAAUCAGUUCUAUUCGGUUUAUUUUUAAUUUUGAUUCAUUUUAGCUUUCUUUCAAUUUCUUUUCUUAUUUUUAGAUUUUUUUUAUUUAGAAAAUCGAACUAAACCAAAAGGAAAAAUUCAAUUUUUUUCCUAUUAAAAUUAAAAAAACCAAAUAUUUAAAAAAUAAUCGAGAUGAGUCAGUUCAGUAUAAUUUGUUAUUUACUUUAUUGAUCAAAAUUCAACUAUAAAGAAAGCAUCUUUUUCCUGUCUCGAAGAGAACUGGAUUCUUUAAUUUCAGGGUAAAAACUGGUCGGAAUGUUAAAGCUGGUGAUUCCUGAUAUAGUACAACAGGCAUUCAUUCAAACUUGAAAAACUCUUUUCUUUUAAAAUAUAAUACACUUAAUUAUAUUAUAAAUAAAUUAUUAUAUUUGGUCAAAAAUCACCCAUUAAACGCAAUUAUAUGCAAGAAUUCCACUUUUUAGCACCAUAAUUUGCGGUUGAAAAUGGAAAAAAAAGCCUUACGUCUCUCAAAUCUCUGGAUAAAAUAACCUGACAAAUUGAAGUCAAAAGGUUAUGGCUUCACUGCACCAACAAAAAAGAAAAAAAAAAUUAUAUAAAUAAAUUUUCUUUCUUCUUUUGAAAAAGGAAACACCAUCAUAAACAUAUGAUUGGUGGCAAGCAACCUUAUAUUAUUAUUACAAAAUCAUGGGCUGUGAUGGGUUGUAUUAUAUUUGGCAUCUCAGCUUUUCUUGGAUGAUGUGUUUGAGAAGACAAAAGAAAAGUCCAAAUAAAAGUUCAAAAAGAAAUUCCAUAAUAAUAUAAUUUCUCGCAGGCAAAACAAAAUCACCUGAGUCUCUUCUUUUUACUCGCUUGCUCAUUGUGUUACAGAUCUGACACUGCUGUGUCUCUAACAGAUUCUGUAAUUUCUUCUUUCUUUAUCUGCCUUUACUUUGCCUCGUCACCUUUGAGAGCCUAUUCCAAUGAAAAUUUUAUAGGAAACCCAUGCAACUACCCCUUCUCUUCUUUUCUUUCUUUCCUUUUUUUUUUUUUUCUGAAUUUUCAAAUAUUUUUAUUAUGAUAUAUAUAUAUAUAUAUAUUAAAAAAGCAAGCUAUUUAACCCUUCAAGGAGAAUAUUUCUAUUAACAGUUUCUGAAGUUUCAAUUCAAAGAUCUUAGAAAAUUCAACUUCAGAAUUGAAACACCCUUCAAGAAAGAAGAACAAAAAUUCAAAAAGGACUCUCUAAAUUUCAAGAUUUUGGCACCGACUAGCAUUAUUAUGUAUAUGCAAACCAAAUCAAAAUACGGCUGGCCGUUUAAGGUUAAUCUAUUAUUUCUUCAAAUACCAACAAUAUAUAACCAUACCAUCACCAUGCAUCUAUCUAUAUAUAUUAAAAAUAAAUAAAUACAUAUAUAACAACUAUAUCAAAAUAGAAUGUCUCUCUUGCUAUACAUUUCUAGUAAGAAAAAGGAACCCUUUCUUCCCCACCUUAAUACAAAAACAAGAAAAAAAAUAACAAAAAAAAAAAAAAAAAAAAGUGAUUAAGGCUAUAAGGAUAUUGAUGAUGAUGACAUAACAGCAAACUUAACAAACUCUCACUUAGGACAAAGUAGUAUUAAUUGAUAUAAACUAAAACUAUAUAACGAUAAUAAACAGGACAAAUUUUGUAAUAAAUUCACCGUUACAAUUCCUCUUCCCGUCGUCUUCUUCAAUAAUAUUUCUGGUGCAGCCUUAAAUUCUCCAUUUUUUUCCAUGAAACGUAAUUAUUAUAAUUAUGACGAAUUACCUGUUUGAUAUAGGGUUUGGUCCACUAGGAACUUCAUGAGCCUCUGCGCCGAAGUUGAAGUUCUUCGAUUUUGAUGGAAACGAAGAAGAUGCACGUGGCUUUUGCGUUUGAGUCACGUGCAAAUUGUUCAUGGUAGUAGUAGAAGCAGCAGCAGUAGCAGAGGUUGAUGAUGAUUCUGAGUUUUCUUGCUGCAAGAGAAGUCUUUUAAUGGAAAUUGGUGAGGAAGAAGAUGGGUUUAAGGGCUUGAUAGGGUUAGUAACGAGAAGAAAAAGAGAAAUAAAGAAAAUUAGGGUAAAGAAGAGAAGGAAAUGUGAUGUUCUAAUGGUAGUUGUUUGAGGAAUUGUUGGUGUUGCCAUGCAAAUAGAAAAAAGAAACCACCCCCCAAGAGCCCACAAGGGUUCAAUAUCCAUUAACCAGCUGAUAGCUCCAAGGCUAAUUAGAAGAGAGAAAGAGAGAGAAAGGAAGAGAAGCUUCAGCAAAAGUGAUUGGAAAGGAGGUUUGAAAUUCGAUACACAUUUGAAGAACAAAAGAACCAACUUAGAAUACAAGUAUAUAUAUCAAAUGUGCUCCAAUGUCUUUGUUCAUUUACCAACUUGCCCUUUUGAUAUACAUAGGAUAUCAAAUUCUUUGUAUUUAGUUUAUAGCCCUAGCUAGGUUUAGAAGGAAUUAAUAGUGAUUAUUUGUUUAAGAUCACUUAUAAGGGUUAAUUCAAUUGUUCCUCUUUUAUCGAUUUAGCCUGACGAGUGUACCUUAAUUUUAUGGAUAUAACCCUUAAUCUUUUUUUCUUGGAAAAUUUUAUUGGAUAAUAAUAAAAUACAAUUUAUUGAAGAAGGGUGUUAUAGUAAUAUUUGAGGAGAAACACUAAUGCAUGAUAUAGGGAUGGGGCCAAAUUGCAAAUGAAAUAGCAAUAAAGAAUCUUGAAAGGUAAAGACAAUGGCACCAAAUAGAAAGAAAGAGAAGUGAGGUGGUGGCCUUUUCAUGCUUGGCUGGCUCCCCAAGAAAUCUUUCUUUGACUUGUUGAGCCCUAAGUAAGGAAAAAAAAUAUUAUUAUCAUCUUAUUCUUUUUUUUUUUUUUUUUUUUUUACCAAGAAUUGUGAAGCAAUUAAUUUCUCCAAAGUUAAAAAAAAAAAAAAAUGUGAAUUGGGCUCCACACCCCCUUUUUGGCGCGUGCAUUAACUCUCAAAUCAUAAAUAUUUAAUAAGAUAUUGUCUAUAAAUUGAUCUUGUGUAAAUUUGAUAGAACUUGAUUUGGAGAUGUGCAUAGGGCAAUUAUAUAUGUGGCUUCUUGAUUUGAUAGAACUCGCAAGGGACAUUUGCAGAAGGAAUUCAAUUAUUGCGAAAUAAUAAUAUCUGCAUGAAUUGAUAUUACAACACUAUACUGUGUUUUUUUUUUUUUUUUUUUCAUUUUUUUGAAAAUAAAACCUGACCCAGAUUAACUCCUCUCAUUUUGUCACUUUAAUGCUGGAUGGAUGGAUGGAUGGAUGGAGGAGUAAUUAUAUAUUUAAUCUUGCAGGAUGGAUAUAUGAAUAUUAGAAAAUUUACUUCAUCUCAGGAGCAUUAAAUUCAAGAAAUUAAGAAUAGAAAUAGUAUAUAUUAUUAUUUUUGAUAACUACUACAGGAUUUACAAGAUUUAAUAAUCUAGUAAUAAAAGAUAAUUAAAGAACAAUAUAUCAUGAAGAAGAUGUUGAAAGAAAGUGACAAGAAAAGAAGGUGGGUCUAAGUGAAAUGAAAAAGCAUAUGUAUAUAUAGUAAAUGUUUUAUGGGAAAAAAAAAAAAAAAAAAAAGAGAAAAGACAUAAGAAAAGCAAAGGAUCGUAUUCUCUUUUAAAAUAUAAACACACUGUUGCUUCUCUCAUAGUGAAAGGCCAAAUUAAACAUGUAAAUGUGUCUCCCAUGAUGGGUAAUGCAUGGGUCAGAGUCCCCACUGUACCUCGGUAAUAUAUCAUAUAAUAUACAUACAUUUUUUAGGACAGGAAGAUGGUACGUUAAGGCCAAUAUUGUAAUUUCCAACUUCACAAAUUACUAACAAGGGGUUCACGAUUGGUUGAAGUGAUCAGCAACUUCAAUUCCCCUAAGAGUAAAAAUAUAAAUUUGAUUUUUUAAAAAUGCACUUUACCAGGAGAGAAAAAAAAAAAAAAAUUUGUGUGCAGGAUAUAGCCGUGCACAAGAAGGAGAGGGACAAGUUGGACGAAGGUGAUAUGGUCCAAAAAGAAAAUUUUGGUUCAUUGUAUGUAUUGACUUCCAGCUUAUAGUAAUGCAUGCUUAUAAUUGGAGUGUGGCCAUGAAAAAUAAUGUAAGAGAUAAUAGUGCAACUGGUCGGGCAUGAGUUUGUAAACUGUCAAAAUUUCAAAAGUUGGAGGAGUUUCAUGUAAAGUUUAUUAUUAUUUUUUUUUACAUAAUUUAUAUAUAGGCUCAUAAUUUGAUUUAUUAACAAAUCUAAAAUUAGAGUAUAUACAAUUGAGACGAAAUUAAAUUUUAAAAAGUGAUGUUUAAAGUGAGUUUUUUAGAGUUGAUACUGUUGAGUUCUAUGUACCGAGUUAAUUCGCUCUAAUGAAUUUAAAACAGGAGGUCAAAUGUAUAAAUUCAUUUAUAUAUAUAUAUAUAUAUAUACACAUUAAAGAUUUUGUGACUUCAAUGUGGUUAAGGUAGUUAUUAUAGGGGUAUCAAGCCAUUUUUUCCCCUCAAGUAAAACCAAGUUUGACUCUCACUUUGUAUGUUUAUCUUUAAAAUAGAAAAAACAUUAUGCUUUACAGGCAUUGGUAGUGAUAUGGUUAAUUCGAAAAAAUUAAUUAUUUUGAUAGCCGUUAAUUGUUUUAAUAGCGUUUAGCUGUAUGAAUAGCUAGUGGUUGUUUGAACAAUUUUUCACAUGCUAAAAGUUAAAUGUUAUAGAGAUUAACUUUUUAUGAAACGUUACAUUAACCUGUAAAAACUAAUUCAAACGCAUUACUAAACACUAUAAACAAUAACACGUAGCGUUUUGACAAAAGCUACUUAACCUGUUAUCCGACAUGGUCAUAGUCUAGUAAAAGUGUUUGGUGGUGGUCUCAAUGGCUGUAAUGAUAGCAUGUUAUCAGGAUACUAAAUCUAUGAAAAUUAAUUGGGUUUUAUCGAGUCAAACAAGAUUUUCCUCUAGCCAUGUAUUAUUAUCUUCUGAGCUUCUAAUAAAGGGAAUAGUAUGCUAAAAGAAAAUUUCUCUUAAUUUUUGGAAUUUGAGAAAAAUCUUUGUCUAAAAGCGUUGGAAUUUGAGAAAUGCAUACCCAUCAUGUGAAAAAAAGUAGUAGCAAAAAUAACCACAUACAUACCUGUAAAGAAGCAUGUUUUAAUUGAAAUGACUAAAAGCUACUUAGCUACUAUAAUGAGGCUCCAACCAUUGCCUCCAUUGAUUAGACCUCGUUGAAGCAAGCUUCCUACCUACUCUUGUCAAACCAAAACCAAAAAUAAUUGGGUUUUUUUCACUUGUCAAGAAAUGUAAAGGGCAGACAUGGAAAAUCUAAUUUGCUUUAUUUGUAGAAAAAGAAAGUGAAUGAUAUAUUUGUUUGGUUGGAGAGAAAAAGCAAUUUCAUCAUGUUCCUACCAAAAUAGUUGAUUAAGUAACUAGAUUACAAGUAUAUUAGCAUCACAUUAUUAAAUAAAAUAAACAACAAAACAUGGCAAUGUGACUUCAAUGUGGUUAAGGUAGUUAUUAUAGGGGUAUCAAGCCAUUUUUUCCCCUCAAGUAAAACCAAGUUUGACUCUCACUUUGUAUGUUUAUCUUUAAAAUAGAAAAAACAUUAUGCUUUACAGGCAUUGGUAGUGAUAUGGUUAAUUCGAAAAAAUUAAUUAUUUUGAUAGCCGUUAAUUGUUUUAAUAGCGUUUAGCUGUAUGAAUAGCUAGUGGUUGUUUGAACAAUUUUUCACAUGCUAAAAGUUAAAUGUUAUAGAGAUUAACUUUUUAUGAAACGUUACAUUAACCUGUAAAAACUAAUUCAAACGCAUUACUAAACACUAUAAACAAUAACACGUAGCGUUUUGACAAAAGCUACUUAACCUGUUAUCCGACAUGGUCAUAGUCUAGUAAAAGUGUUUGGUGGUGGUCUCAAUGGCUGUAAUGAUAGCAUGUUAUCAGGAUACUAAAUCUAUGAAAAUUAAUUGGGUUUUAUCGAGUCAAACAAGAUUUUCCUCUAGCCAUGUAUUAUUAUCUUCUGAGCUUCUAAUAAAGGGAAUAGUAUGCUAAAAGAAAAUUUCUCUUAAUUUUUGGAAUUUGAGAAAAAUCUUUGUCUAAAAGCGUUGGAAUUUGAGAAAUGCAUACCCAUCAUGUGAAAAAAAGUAGUAGCAAAAAUAACCACAUACAUACCUGUAAAGAAGCAUGUUUUAAUUGAAAUGACUAAAAGCUACUUAGCUACUAUAAUGAGGCUCCAACCAUUGCCUCCAUUGAUUAGACCUCGUUGAAGCAAGCUUCCUACCUACUCUUGUCAAACCAAAACCAAAAAUAAUUGGGUUUUUUUCACUUGUCAAGAAAUGUAAAGGGCAGACAUGGAAAAUCUAAUUUGCUUUAUUUGUAGAAAAAGAAAGUGAAUGAUAUAUUUGUUUGGUUGGAGAGAAAAAGCAAUUUCAUCAUGUUCCUACCAAAAUAGUUGAUUAAGUAACUAGAUUACAAGUAUAUUAGCAUCACAUUAUUAAAUAAAAUAAACAACAAAACAUGGCAAUUAGGCCCCUCAUUGUAUCCACUCUCAAUGUUUGUAUAUAGAAGAAAUCAAGCUAAUUAACAAAUUAACACAAAUCCCAAUUGUGGUGAUUCCAAGACAUUUGGUACAAAAAGUCAAUAGAGUGGACAUUAAAACUUUUUUUUUUUGUCAACUCAAAAUCCGAUUCUCCUAAUUCAUAAAUUUGCCUUUAAAAUUUAUGCGAUUUAUUUUGUGACACCCUUAAAUUUAUGAAGGGGCAAUUAUAAACUUAUGCUUUUUGCAUUUUAGUAAUAAUUAUGUCUUUCGGACAAUUAAAAUAAUUUAUAUAAAAGUUCAAUUAUAACCUUGCACUUUUAUAUUUUAUUUUGGUGAAUAAUAUAAUUAUUACUAAAUAUGAAAAUGAUAUGUCAUCGUAAAUUUAAGAGUGCUACAAGACAAAUCACGUAAAUUUUAAUGUCAAAUCUAUCCGUUUGACUAAAUUAGAAUUGAUAUCAACUUGUUAAAAGCAAUAAUGCUACUCUAGUAGUAAAUGGCACAUCUUUUUCUAUUAGGUAAGCUGUAAUUUGUCAAGUUGAGAAAAAAACUUCACUUCUAUACCAAUCUUGCUUUAAUUUUCUGUCAGGGUCUUUUCUAGUUCUAGAGGCAAUUUAAUCAUAUGGUAAUUAGUACUUAUUAAGACUAAUCAUAUAUAGAAGUAAUAAUAGAAACUUAUUUUUAUUAAUUAGUGAUAGAAGUAAACUUAGGAAAUUUGAGAGAAUAUUGAAAUUGCUAUUGAAAUGAUCAGAUGUCCAUUUAUAGGACAUCAUACAAAUAUUUAUACUAUAUUUUUUUUUAUUUUUUUAGUAAUUGAAGAUAUAAACAUAUAGUAAGAAUCUCGGUUAUAAAUACCAAAUGAGGAUCUUGGUAAUUAAUGACCUUUAAUAACUCAUUUGACAGACUGUUACUUAUAUUCAAACGGAUAUGGAUGUUGCUCGGUUUAUUGUGUCUAUCUGCCGAUUUUAAGUUGCUCAGUAUAACUUAAUAAUUGUUCCUAUCAAUUAGGUUAAAUUAUAUAUGUUGGGUGAACUCAGAAAUAUUGAGAUUUUUUACUCUUCAACACUAGAAACUGUGGAAGUAAUCAACAAACUUGACUUCAACCGAGUCAAACUUUUCAACCAUAUACAUAUUAAUUAUUGUACAGAAAGAAAUCAAUUCCUAUAUGAACAAAAGAUGAUUCUUUGAAGGCUACUCAUUGGAAAAUUUUACAUCUAUCAUGUUAUUUUCCUAUAUAUAAUUAGAAAUUCAAUUCUGAGCAAGAAAAUAUAGUGAUGGCUGCAAAGAUUUUCAAACUUGCAACCAAUAAAAAAAUGUCAAAAUAGAAAAAAUUAAAAUGAUACUUUUUGCCUCCUUUGAUUGCUUUCUGUGCCACCAUGUAAGUUUUGUUAAGGAAUCACUUUAUAAAGCAUACAACUUUGGCUUUUAAAUUUAGUCUCUGUAUGUUUAAAAUUCGUAUUCUUUUUCCACUUCCAUCAAUGUCGAAUGUGCAAAUUAAACUAUUUUGGUUCAUGAAUGACAUUUAGAUUGGAUAAAAUAAUUUUUUAUUUUAUAUUUAUUUGAUGUAAAUAUUAAAUAACUCUAAGUUAAGUGAGUUUGGAUAGAAUUUAUAAAUUGAAUUAGGAAUUUAUACCUCUAAUAUGCUCCAAUUUUAUUCGAUUUUAAGUAUGCCAAGAUAUAUUAAUCAUACCCUUUUAGGGUCUGUUCGGUAAAAUUGAUUAUUUUGAUAUUUGUUAGUUUUUAUUUGAGUAGUUUGUCAUAAAAUGUUAAAAACUGAACGUUUAUAAAACACUAUUUUAACUUUUAAAAACUAGUUCAUAUAUUAUAUUACUAAAUAUUAUAAAAAAUAACGUUUAGUAUUUUGAUCGGUCAAAAUUCUAAAAGCUAUUUAAAAAUAUCACUAACUCUUUGAGUCUUCAUUUCCCACUAUGGCAUUGGCAAAAGGUAGAUCUCAAAUUAAUUGCAGAGAAAUUUUCUCAAAUUUUUCAAUGAAGCUAAACUCAACAUAACACAAGAACCAGAUUGUAGGGUCAUUUUAUAUCAGAUGCAUAAUGGGUGACAUCAAGGUAUGUCAGAACAUAUUUAUCUACUUAUAUAUUGAUUUUAAUCAAAUUUUUGUUUUUUUUUUUUAAAAAAAAUCAAAUUUUGUUUGCCUUUCAGUUCUAGAUAUUGCCAUUGGGACCCAAAAUAGGCUCAUCUCAGUCUUUAAACAUGAGCUGACAUAAAACAGGAUUCUUGAACAUGGUUUCUGCUCUCUGGAUUUCCUCAAAGCUAGACUUGCUUGGCUUUCUUGACCCACUACAAGGUACAUUUAUAUAUACUCCUUUAGAAAUUAAUCAUUAAUUACCUAUGUUAUAAAUUCAUUAUUUCAAGUGAAAAAUAUUUUAGGUCAAAAGAGAAGAAAGUGACCUUAUUUGUUAUUAGGUGGGUGGGUCGCUCUUACCUUCCAUAAAUAAAAAUUUUCACAUUUUAUUCUAAAAUUGGAAUUUGAUGAGUCCUUUGAGCUCUAACCAUUUAAGUGCAAAAGACUGAAAUAUUAAAAUCUAUAUAUAUGGAAUAUAAUGUGAGAAUCAAUAGUGACACAAUAGAAAAUGACUCUAGAACAAGAAAAGCAUUGGGUGGCUUAAAGUAAAAAAGAUCAAAAGGCUAUUUUCUUUGUUAUUUCACAUUGGACUUAAUUUAAAGAGAGAGUGUAUUUCUUAGAAUGGGGCAUGUGAGCAAUCAAAGCAAAUUUUAUUAGAAAAAAUAAACUUGUCUGUCUUCUGAAUUUGAUUAGCAAAAUGAAUCCCUAAUUUUUUUAUGUGAAAAAAAAUUGAAGUAAUGGGUAAUGAUUAAAUAUAUCCCAAAUUCUUUAUUUUUAAUUAUUGAUGGUUCCUGAUUUUUUUUUUUUUUUUUUUUUUGAGUUGUAGGAAAAGAGUCUCGAACCUAGAUUUUUUAUCAUGUAGUAUAUGCACUUACCAUUAAACUAUAUCUUAAUGUGAAUGAUUCUUGAUUAAUUAAUUACCUUCAAUAAUAAGAAUACUAACCUUCAACUGGAUUGAUAACGGUCAAACAAUUAUAUUCUAACUCUGAUCUCUUAUGCCUUUUGUUUAAUUUUUAUUCUUCUUCUACUUAAUUAUAAGGCUAUUUGUUAAUUACAACCACCUCCUUUUUUUUUUUUUUUUUUUUUUUUUUUUAAAGGGUUAAUUCAUUGAAAGGCUUAACGAUUCAGAAUAAUAGACAUCCUACUUGAGAGGUAGUCUUCUCCUUUAACUCAUUAAAAUUGAUAAAAAAUUUUACAAUCGAAAAGACUCGAAUCUGAAACAUCCUACUCGUAUCAGUGAAAAUACAAAUCAGACCACAUAUGAUUGACUAAUUACAAUCUUAUUUACAUAGACAUCUUUUAUUUCUUCAUAUUUGCAAAGUGUAUUCAAAUUAAAUUAUAAUUCAAUGUUUUUUUUUUUUUUUUGAAAGAUAAAUUAUAAUUCAAUGUUAAUCUCUAUAUAACAGCAAAUUAAGAAUCCAAAUUUCAGUUGGUACGGAAUUCGCCUUCAUAAUAUAAAAGUUGGAAGAGUAUAUAUAUAUAUAUAUAUGGAGAAUGCGAAUGGAAGAAAGAAAAAGCAAAAGGUGUAUAUUUGUUAGAUUGUAGAGUAACACUGAAAAGCACUGGUCAAAAGAUGCACAACAUAAAAGUUAUUAAAAGUUGAAUUAUGGAGAAAUAUAUGUUGCAUGCAUACUUUACUGCCCUUAAUCUGUCUGUGGGCUGUGAGUUAAAUUUUUUAAAAUAGAAAAAUACAAAAAAAAAAGAAAAAAGAAAAAUACAUCCAAUGUAAGUAUCCUUUCAUCAGCCAAAAAUGAAAUAAAGAAUGGAAGUGGACAAGGACAGUAUGGUCCACCAACACUAAAACACAAGCACACACAAUGAUAAUAAUAAUAUCUCACAUAUUGGAUGAUGAUUUUCUAAUGAUAGCAUGUAAAAAGGUAAAAUGCUUCAUUUUUAUGGUGAAAAAAAUGUGCAAUCCUAAUUAAAACAUUGUAGUUUGAACCCUUUGUUCAUCUUUCUUUGGUUUGGAUAGUGAUGCUUCAUCACUUCAGCCUUUCAAAUAUGACUUUUCUCCACUUUUCUUAUGUCAAAUUUCUCCUUGUCUACAUUUGAGGCUAGGAAUAAUACCUGGCCAAAGUUAUAAGUUCAAAGCUUAAGCUCCUGUACUUUUCUUAGAAAAUAAAAAAUAAAAAACAGAGAGAGAGAGAGAGACAUUUCCUAUGAAUUUUGCAAUAAGACAGUAAUUUUCUUAAAAGAAGCUCGAGCUGGAAAAUUUUCAAAAUUAAAAAGAAAGCCUGAGCUAGACAAUACUUGGAACUAAAUGAGGUCUUAGUGGGGACCCCAAGUUCUUCAAACUUUAUAAGAAGAUGAUAAUUAUUGAAAAGCAUGGGCUAGAUAAUCAUCAGAGCAAAUACAAGCUUUGGUUGAUGAUCUUCAAUUAACAUUCCCUAUUAUAAUUAGGGUAGUUAAAAGGGGCAAUUUCAAAGUGGGAAACCUUGCUUUACAAAAAGAUGUGGACACCAUGAAUUGAUUAAUGUAUAAUAAGAAGUUUCUCUUCAAAAGAGAUAAUCAUGUAAAUAUGGUAGGGCACAAGAAUUAUCUUCUGAAAUAUACUUUUGCUUUUGCAAUCUUUUGAAAAGGAUUUAUUCAUGUGUGCCGGUCACUUUCUCUCUUGGUUUCGUGUUCCCACCAUUUUCUUCAUGAACAUUAAAUAAAUGACCAGUCAUGCAAAACAAAUACCACCUACUUAGGGGAUAUGAGACAUGGAGAGAAUUACUCGACUAAUUAAUCUUUGAUCAUUACCUCAUCACAGGAUAAUCACCAAAGGAUAGCAUAAUUCAUGAGGGAAAGCUAUAAAAAUACAAUGCCCCUGUUAGUUCUAGAAAUCAGAAUCAAAAGCAUGCACAUGCAUAUGUAAUCAAUCACAAAAAUGCAGUGGAAAAUAAUUUAAAAUUUCUCUCAUCAUCUCUCAAGCAAUUCUAUGCCUCCACAAGGAUGUCAUUACUUUAACACCAAUGCCUACUCAAAUCUCAUUCUAGUCUUGCCCCACUUCCAUUUGCGAGUAACUACAUAAGAGAGAAUAAAAAAAGCAUCCCAGCAUCAAAUGGUUCCAAAGCACCAACUGGAAUAUGUUCACUGCUUUUACAAGGCCAUACCUAAAUUUAUAUUCAAAUAUUUCAAUAUUUCAGAUAAUUCUCAUGAACUUAAAUAUGAUUCAAUUGGAAUGAAUUUUGGUGAUAUCAAAAACAAAUAUUUAACAGCAAGCUGAUGAGUGUACUAAGAUCUAUUAUAAACAAUUUAGCAGAAAAAAGACUCAGAGCUCAGGCAAAAUUGAAGAUUGCAAUCUGACCGUUUAAAAAUCAUAUUCCUCCUGUAGCUACUUGAUGCAGUUGUAGCUAUAUAAAGCAAGAAAACAACAAGAAGCAAAAUUAUAAUGGAAACAAUAGAAAUGUACCCUUGAAAUCUCACUUCCAUCGCAGAGACUGCCUAAUUCCAGUGUAGAUAAGCCCUAAUGACCUCCCAAUCAAAGAAACUAGAAAGAAUGAGAUGGCAUUGUUAACUUUGUCGAUGACAGCUCUAAUCAGCGGCAUGGUAAUAUCAGAUAACUCAAGGUACAGACUGAAAUAGUAUCUCCUGAGAAACAAUUAAAGAUAAUUUAGAAAGGGUAAUAGAAAAUAUUUUUGCUUAUAAUACUUAAAAUCAUAUAGCAGUUGAAGAAUGCAGCAAAAUAAGAUUAGGUGGUAGUAAAAGGUCCUGGCAGAUGACUGAAUAAUAACACACUCCACACCUCAGAGAAGGAUGAGUAAAAUCACACAAAAAGAAUGGGAGAUGAGGAGAGAAACAGAAGGGCGCUAAGGUCGGGGCUGUACAUUUUUGUGCAUCACUUUAGAGAAUAAAAGAAACUAAGAAGUUGGGUGCCUCUCUUUAUGAGGUCACAGAAUGCAAAUAGUUUCAGAAAUAUACUCCUCCUCAUGUUCUAUUUUGCAAAUGGAUAAACUCUUAUUUGUGAAGAGCAUUAGUCCAAAUACAAAAAGUAUUACUCCAACAAUGCUAAUUCAUGUCCAACAGGAACCCCAACUUAUAUACUACUAGCAUUAUCAUUGUUCAGCUGUCACCCGAUCAAAUUCAGAGAUUCAGCUUAACAAUUAUGGAUUACCUCCAGAAAUUAACCUUGUAUCGUUACAAAAUUAACAAAAAAUUUUCAUUCAUUCCAUCUAUCCCAUAGCCAAAAAUACUUGCAACUAUUAUUGUCAACAAAGCUUUACAUUCCAGAAAUAUGGCCAAAAUAAUAGUAUAUUGUAACUGAACACUCUACUCCAGCCACCUUUCUGUUUUGACCCCAUAGGACAACAAAUUGAACAAUUAGCAGAGAGAUUGUUCUAACUGUUUUAUCUCGCAUUUACAAUUUGUGGAGAAAAUGAAAUGUGAGUAGGAGUUUCUACAUAUCAACUAUAUUUCACAAUUAUUUCUUGAGACUCCACAAUUACAUUUUUAAAUUGAUGAGAAAGUUCAUGUCAUGUGCAAGGCAAAAAAAUUAAAAAAAAAAGGAACCAGUAGAGUCAAAGUAUUAAAGACUUACCACCCUGUCAAGGCCCUUAAUUCUUUUGUCCGUUUUACAGGCAUGGAGAACUGGUUUAUCAUGACAUAAUAUAAUGAAGCUGGAAUUGUUUCAGAUUUUUUUCGAGUAAGCUUCUUCCACCAGCUACGAUUUUCAGCCUGACUCAGGUUUGGUUCCUCAAUGAUUUUGGACUGUAGAGUGCACAGAUCAAAUCGAUCCUCAUACAUUGAUACAACUGCCUCCAUAUUUUGAUACAACCAUUGAUUCAAAGCCACCUGUUAACAAAAAAUUCUGGAAUUUCAACUGUCUGUGCCAGAAGUCCACAUUCUGAAAUAUCACACAUGAACUGAACAGCAAUGUUUAACUUCUAGAAAUGAAUAUUGUCAACACCCCCAGAACCCCCCCACCCCCAUGGGCGCCCAAAAAUAAAUAAAUAAAACAAUCUUUUGUGUCAGACCCCAAAAGAGGAAGAGUACAAGAAAUGAAGGAAAAUGUGUGAAUAUUGCAAAAAAUCUUUCCUUUAAGAAUCAAGUAAGAAAAAAAACAAACUCUACAUGCAACAAAAUAUAUGCUGCCAAAAAUAUUAAUAUGAAUGAAUAAAAUUCUCUCUUUCAUUGAUUAGUUGGUCAAGCAAAACGAGAAUUCUAGGUGCAUUUCUGUUUCGCUUUAAAAGUUCACAUUGUGACCAUUGCAGGCUGCUAACUAAUUUAUUAAUAUUAAAAGCAACAAUUUUCCCUGUAUAACUAUGUGCCAAUUGAAAUGUAAUGGAGAAACAGAGGCAAAUGUUUCUGAGCAAAAACAAAAUUUCAUCUUAACUGAUUACUUAAACUGAAGUUCCAUAUGGAUGACAGAUACAGGUUCAGCAGGUCAGAAAUUUAAUGCAAUUAAAAAAAAAAUAAAGCUCAGGACAAUAAAAUGCAGGAAAAAGAGGAAUACCAUAUUCCCAUUAUAAUUCUGGUUGACAUCUUGAUAUAUAUAUAUAUAUAUAUAUAUAUAUAUAUAUAUAGACACAUAGAGAACAGCUACUAUACCUCAUUGCGCAAUCUUUGGAUUGCUCGGGUUGACAAAUUACACAUAGUCAUUCCCAGGUUGUUCAUUUCAUUUGACAAAUUACCAUCAACAGAAAUAAGCUCCAAAUAAACAUUGGCAACGCCAUCUGCUAAAGUUAUUACCAAAUCUUCUAAUAUGGAAUCUCCAUGCAAAGAAAACAAGCUCUGGUCAUAACAACAACUCUUCCUGCCAAAAUAGAAAUGAUAGUACAGGAAAUGUGAACAGUGGCAUCAAGAUUAGGUUGAUUACAGAAUGUAACAUAAAGUAAAAUUAGGAACAAUAUGCAGAAGGCUGCUGGACACUAAAAAGAGAUAUUCAAGCCCCUAUACUUUUAUUUUAACACACUAAACCUCUGGAUUUUAAGCCUGUAGUUUUCAAACGCGGACAUAGCAGCCAGUCAGGGUGGGAACCAGUACAAUUCUAAGAGAUCCCAGAUUGCACAAGAACUUAGAGUGGUUAAGAAGAAAGAAAACAAGACAACCAUUACUAAAAUUACCUGAGAAACCCAAAUCUAAGAAAGUAUAAUAAUUCUGCAUAAAGAUCUUCCUUGCCUGACUUUCUUAUGGUCUGUAAAACAACUUCAUCUCCCUUUAAUUUCUGAAUCAUCAACGAGAAAAGUGCCUAGAGAGAGAGGGAAAAACAAAAAGGAUAUUUAACCUAAACAAGCAAGGAAUGUGUAAUAAAACUCAUACAGAUAUAUAUAAGCUUUUCCACUCGAUACCUCAUCGAGUUUCUUGUUUUCAAGGCAAAGUUCUUCCCCUAGCCAAGCCAUGCAUAUGCAGUCAAAAGCCUUUUGAAUAGUUUCAGGGAAAAUAGUCAACCAAUCAUCCAAAGUAAAAGCCUCGCAAUCACCUAAAACAUUAUUCACCUGCAAACAAAAAUUAUGAAACCUUAAUUGACAAACUACUAAAAUGAUAUUAAAAUGCAUACAUUAGAUAUGUCAAACAGUCCAGAUCUAAUAUCUUAUAUCCCCCAUUUGAAAAACUAAUGUGAAUAGAGAAAAUUUUCAUGAAAUAAUUGUUUGGCCUGACAUCUUAUACAACAUUUUAUUAAAAGCUGUGCAAAAUUUAAAUCAUGAACUUUUUGAGUUCCUACAAGAAAAUCAAUUCGUCAUAGGCAUUCAAUGGAAAGGCCAUUAACUAAUUAAUUAGGUUUCAGGUAUAGAUUACAGAGACAGACAUGAAGUUAAAUAAGCCUUAAUUCCAAUUUCAAAAUUCCAGAGACAGUCAAAGCUCUCAAAUUUUUUGAAUGACAUAGCUGCUCUCAGGCCUUAAACCGACAAUCUCUUUGUUGUAAGCUCAAGACUUUUACCAUUGCACAAGACAAUUCCCCUUAUCACAGACAUUGAAUUAUGCUAAGGAAUGAGAGUAAAAAGCAUACUUUAGGUGGGUCCUUCUUAUAGAUGCUUCCUAUAAGAUAGGAACAGACACAACUCCUCAUAAAUUAAAAAUAAUUGGUCAUUAUGGGGAAAAUAGUCACCAAAACAACUCUUUUUUUGCAUCAAAUGACAUAUAAACAUAAAUAUAAGGAUCUAUACUUCAAAAAUAUAGUGUUUUUAGAAAUGGUUAUUUAAAUUGCUCCUCUAAAAUUUUUGCCCAGAAAAUAGAAAAAAAAAUAUCUGUUUUGCAAGCACAACAACAAAACUGUUGGUCAAUGCUACUCAUCUCAGUCUAAAGCUAUGAAUUUGUAAUCUCGCAUGUGGUUAUAACAUGCAAGAUUGUUGUCAAAAAGAUUUAAUAGCCAAAAAACAGCUGAUUCCGUAUCUUUAACUACUGCUUGCCUGUGUUUUAACUACUGCAAAAAGAUUCACUCAAUCAAUAAACUACUUGUUUUCUUUCCCAACUGUAUCUUUUAACUUGUAAGCCCUUGAGAGCUCAUGCAGAAAAGUGACUCGAAGCUAACAGAGUUAGGCAAAGUAAUUUCCAUGAACCUUUGGAUUUAUCAAACUAUUAUUAGAAGAUGAUGGUGGUUUAUCCCAAAAAAGAAAGAAAGAAGAAAAUAGUGACAGUGCCUGCCUCAUCCUCGAGAUGUUUAAAAGAAGUCCAAAGCAAUCGCAACUUGGGCCCCUCAGAUACAGCAUACAAACUUAAGGGCCUCUUUGCAUUCUCUUGAUCAAGUUCAAGGAGUCUGUUUCCGAGAUUGCUCUUGUGUUCUACAGCAUUGAGAGCAUAUAAAAGUUUCUCCUUUACUGCAUCCCAGGCACAUUUUAUAUUAACACAGUCAUCAUUAUUUUUGGCACUGCAAAUAAAGAAAAAUGUCUUAAUCAAACACAAAAAGUAAAGCAUAGACACAUAAAAGAGAUAGCACUCUUAUCUUCAGAAAGCAAAUGACAUAAAGAAAUAUAUAUAUAUAUAUAUAUAUAUAUAUAUUGGAGCUAAAAUAAAUUUUUGAUCUUCUUACCCUUACCUACCAGAAGAUGUUGCAGUUUCACCAACCACAUUGUCAUAUGAGAUUCUCCAUGAAGUAAAAUUGGGCCUCUUAAGAGGAAGUACUCCAGCCAUAUAUGUUAGGGCUAUGCUGGUUAUCAGCAGCAACUGAUCACUAACAGAAACCAAAUCAGAAGCUGUAAGACCAUCAGGGUCCACCAAGGAUCCCAAGCAACUACACCUCAAGGCAGAUUCCCUGAUAAAAGGACUUGAUUUAAAAUUUGAGAGUCCAGAUCUAUAUGUUUUCCGAGAAUGGAGGCAGAGAACUUUCCAACUUCCACGAGGAUACUUUCUGCAGCCAAAACAUAAUGUGUUAAAGCAUAAUGAUUGCUAACACUUACAUUUCAUUAGUGAUAUGAUAUGAUGGCAAACAAAUUCAUCCGUUUAAAACAUUCAUAUCAAACUCAUUUCUUGCCUAUUUCUUUCUGUGUGAGUUAGUUUGACACUGUCUAGUAAUCAUUGGGAUUCAAAGAAAAUACAAAAUUGAGGUUCACGAUGCAGAUAAAAUAUGAAAUUUGAUUAAUUUUUAAUUUCCCCAUCAAAAUGCCAGCCCUACAUAAUGUCCUUCAGGUAACGGCUACUGAUAAAAUCAAAACUAAUAAACGCAGCAAACAACUCUGAGCGUUGACAUAUACAAUCACAUUUUCAAGUCAAUCAAAAAUAAAAAUCCCAUAAGGAUUACAAGGUAAGGAAGAGGAUACCUCUGUGGCGUCUUAAAAUGUGAAUUCCGGAUUAAAUAGCCCUUCUCUUUGACACAGCUUGUCCAUAAAUGCAGCUUGACACAUGGAGUGGAAGCUAUAUAUUCUGCCAUUGCUAAACAAUAACUUCCUGCCUGCCACUCAACACAUUGCCUGUCUAUCGAACACUUCAGCCAUCAAAUCAAUGUCUGCACUGACAACAAGGUCCGUUAAAGGUCAAAUCACAGCCAAUUGUAACAGUUACAGUGAAAAGAUUGGGAUGUGUAGGAAAUGCAGUUACCGUUAAAGGAAGGCAAUUCAGAAUUGUAAAGAUAAAUCAAAGAAGCUAAAAGUGAGUAAAGUUAGUGUUAGGUUUUUGAUAAAAGAAGUGGCUGUAAAUGGAGUCGAAUAGGGAUUUGGAUUGGAUUUGAGCGUACCUGGUUUUUGAGUCGAUGAACUUUGUGAUCGACAGCUCGUCGUUAUCACUGGGACAGCAGAGUCGGCCCUAGUUUGACGUACUACUUGGAUCAAAUGAAUCGGAUUCGGAUAUGUCCAAUUCUUUACAGUCAAUUCUAGCUAAGAUUAAUUUAGAAAUAAUUUUAUUUAUUUAUAUGGACACAAUUUAAAUGCGGAAUUCAACUGUAUAAUUCCACAAUUGAAAUUUAUUUAAUAUCACUUGUUAAAUUACUCUCAGUAAUAAAAUUGAAAAAUAAUUAUACCUAAUAGUUUAAAUUUAUAAUAAUUAAUAUAUAUAUAUAUAUAUAUANNNNNNNNNNNNNNNNNNNNNNNNNNNNNNNNNNNNNNNNNNNNNNNNNNNNNNNNNNNNNNNNNNNNNNNNNNNNNNNNNNNNNNNNNNNNNNNNNNNCCCCGACACAUGAGAAAUGUGAUUUCCUCUAUAUAUAUAUAUAUAUAUAUAUAAACUCACGAUAUAUUAAUAAAUAUAAUAAAUUCGCGAUAUAAGAGUUGAGUAGAACAAUAUAUUAGUAAAUAUAUAAUAUUAAAAAGUCAACACAAAAAUAAAAAACAUUUAAUUUAAUCAGCUAUACAUGAUAAUAGUAAAUAAUAUUAAAUUAAUUGUAGUUUAUAAUGAAGAAGAUGAAAAUGAGAAUUUCAGUUUAAAAAAAAAUUAAUGCAUUUGUUUCAAAUUUCAUCAAAACUUAAUAAAUUUGACUUUAAUUAUAAACAAUUUAAUAUAAUUCAAUUCUUAAAAUUGAAUUAUAAAUUUCUUUUCCCACUAAAUAUAUAAAGCAUAAAAUUUAAUUAAAUUUAAUUACAUUUUAUAAAAUUGUUAUCAAUCAUAUUUAAAGAAGCAAAUGUUAAAUAAGUACACUUAUACGCUAAAUACAUAUAUAAACUUUUGAGAAACUAUAAUUUUUUAAAAUAUAAUGACUUUUUGUUUCGGAAUGAAAUAUAACUCAAUAUUUUCAUUUUUUUAGUAAAAUCAUUUUUAAUAUUUAUAAAAUUCAUUUGCAGAUAAAUAUAUUUUAAACUUGUAAUAUUUCAAUUUAAUUUAACAAAUACAGUUAAAUUAUAAUUAUGAUAUUAAACCUUUUAUUUUAAAUGAUAAUAAAGAUUAAAAAUAAUUAAUGAUAAUCAAUAUUAUGAUAGAGAUAGUUAUUUUAUUUUCUUAGGAUACAUAUUUUAUGAGAAUUAAUUAAUAUAAAUGUAAGAUAAGAAUUGUCAAAUAAAAGUUUUUAAGUGUUAAAAAGAGGCUUGUAAAAAGAACACGUGUCAUAUGUCAAAAUGAAGAAAAUAUGCUUGUCUUAUGUACGGGAGAUAAUGUGACAUAAUUACAAUAAUAUAGUUUUUAAAAUUCAUUUUUCAAACAUCUGGGGUGGUGGCGCAGUUGGCUAGCGCGUAGGUCUCAUAGCUUAGAGGAAUCCUGAGGUCGAGAGUUCGAGCCUCUCUCACCCCAUAAAUUAUUUUGACAUUUUUUUUAACUUGGGCUUGCAUGCAUCGGCCCAUUUAAUUAAUCGGACCAUUCAAACUCAUAACAUGACCAAUACGAUCUGGCUCGACUCGACUAUCUUGUCCCUUAUCAAAAACCCUAGUAGCCAUUAGUCCAGUCUCCCUUUUCCAUUCUUCGCUGUUAAAGUUAGACCCUAGCACAAGCCUUUUCCAGGUAAUUUUCCUGCUAACUUCCCCUUAUUCUUCUCAGUUUUCUAUUGAAUUUAUGGUCUUAUUGCAUGACUUAUAAUUUCAGGAAGAAUAACUAGCAAAUAUGGUGAAGAAGAGCAAAAGUGAGCAGAAACAUUUCUCUAAUUGAAAUUCUAUUUAUUGGAUAUUGAGUUUGCUGGCUUUGUGACUUAUUGUUUGUGGUGCUUUUACGAUAUGCAGAGAGUAAGAGUAAGAGAGUGACGUUGAAGCAGAAGUAUAAGGUUUUGAGGAAGGUCAAGGAGCAUCACAAAAAAAAGGCCAAGGAAGCAAAGAAACUAGGGUUGAAGAAUAAACGCAAGGUCGAGAAGGAUCCUGGUAUUCCUAAUGACUGGCCCUUCAAGGAACAAGAGCUAAAGGCUCUUGAAGCUCGCCGGGCCCGUGCUCUUGAGGAACUAGAGCAAAAGAAAGCUGCUCGCAAAGAGAGGGUAUUGAUUCAAUUUGCUUAAUCCUCUCUGUUGCUUGUUAUGACCAAUUAUUUUGUGUAGUUAUUGGUUUUUGUCUCUGUGACCUUUCCUCAUAGCUCAUUAUUAAAAAAGCAACCUUUGCGUGUUUUUGAGUGGUUCGCCACAAUGCUAUAGUUUUUAAGAAGGAAAUUGGUUUCAUUUAAACAUGAAAGUGUUUAUUUAGAUAGGUCACUUUGCAUUUAUUUUUAGGUCGAUUUCUAUUUUCUUUAACAUUUUAUGUUGUAUAGCUGCUAUAGAUUGAUGUUGUUUUCCUAUAUGUUUGGUGGCAUAUUGAUAGUAGAUCUUCACAUACUUUUUUAGGCUCAAAAGAGGAAGUUGGGUUUACUCGAGGAUGAUGAUUCUUCUGCAAAAGAAAAAAAUUUUGAAGAGCAAAAUAGCAAUGGAGAUUUCGGUGGAAUUGCCAGAAAUCGGGGUAUGAUAAUACUUAGUUGGAACAUGUGUGAGUGGAAAGUUUUAAGGAUGAUAUAUCCAUUUCAUUCUAAUAUUCACUUGAAUAUUUUAUUUUCAUACAGAUAAUUCAGAUAGGGCAUUCUACAAAGAGUUGGUUAAAGUCAUUGAAGAAUCGGAUGUCAUAUUGGAAGUCCUUGAUGCCCGAGAUCCUCUUGGUACCCGUUGUGUUGAUAUGGAAAAUAUGGUGAUGAAAUCUGGUCAUGAUAAGCAUCUGGUGUUACUUCUGAAUAAAAUUGGUAAUCUCUCUUCCUUAUUCAUCCUUCCUUAUUUCUAUUGGAUUUCAUUAUAUUUUCAUGUUGCUGCUUAAAUGUUUACAUCGUUUGGGUAUGUUAUGGAAUGCUUCAUUAGUUCUUGGUUGUAGUAUCUUGUUUUCUGACUUUAUUAUUGUUCUGAAGAUCUUGUUCCUCGAGAAGCUGUUGAAAAAUGGCUAAAGUAUCUCAGAGAAGAAUUGCCUGCUGUUGCCUUCAAGUGUAGUACCCAAGAGCAGAGGUCAAACUUAGGUUGGAAGUCUUCCAAAAAAGCAGCAAAGACCAGCAAUCUUCUGCAAACGAGUGAUUGUCUUGGAGCUGAAACCCUCAUUAAAUUGCUGAAAAAUUACUCAAGAAGUCAUGAUGUAUGUUAAGCUAUUCUAUUUCUUUUUUUUUUUUUUUCUUUUUUUUUUUUGAGGCGAGGGAAAUUAAGGUUGAAGUCUGUGGAUAUUUGCUUGAAGUCUUCCGUUAAUUACUGGAAUUUCCACUGUUUUAAGCAUUUUUAUAUUAAAGCUGUGACGCUAUGGAUUGGGGUUGCUAUACAUUGGGGGUUAUUUAUUUGUUAUGUUUUCUUUUUUUUUUUUUUUUUUUUCAUGCCUCUUAAGUGGUACUCUUUUGCAUCCUUGGUUUUGGCAGAUUAAAAAAUCUAUUACAGUUGGUGUAAUCGGCUUGCCUAAUGUUGGUAAGAGUAGUCUGAUUAACAGCUUGAAGAGAUGUCACGUUGUCAAUGUUGGUGCUACUCCUGGGCUAACAAGAUCAAUGCAAGAAGUUCAGCUAGACAAGAAUGUUAAAUUGUUGGAUUGCCCUGGUGUUGUAUUGCUAAAGUCUAAGGAGAAUGAUGCAUCUAUAGCUCUUCGUAACUGCAAAAGAAUUGAGAAGCUAGAUGAUCCAGUUAGCCCUGGUAAGUUAACGAUUUUCCUAAACAUGUCCCUCCAUUUUAGACCAAUAACUCUGUUUUUUAGGCGAAAACAAGAUCUUCUCCCUUUUGAUAAGUAAAAUUACAGAAAGUUUGAUUGGGUGGGAAGUAGUGUAAAUGGUCAUCUGUUUUUCAUUUCUGAUAUGCUUACCGAUAUACCUGAUUCGCCGUUUACUGGCUUCUUUUACCACCAGAAAUUAUAUUGGCUUUCUGUUUGAAUAAAUAAAUAAAUUAAUUAAUGAUAAAAUUUGUUAUGUCUGGGCCAAAUUCUACCGAAUAUGUUCUAAGGUUUUGUCAACCCUACCUUUUAUAUUAUGAUUACCAUAUUAAUGCUUGCUUUUUCUGGACAAUACAGUGAAAGAAAUUCUCAACCUGUGCCCAGCAAGACUGUUGGUAACUCUGUACAAGAUACCAAACUUUGAAUCAGUUGAUGAUUUUCUGCAGAAAGUGGCUACUGUCAGGGGUAGGCUCAAAAAGGGUGGUAUUGUGGAUGUUGAAGCUGCUGCUCGAAUUGUUCUGCAUGAUUGGAAUGAGGGUAUGCUUUCUGGGAACUUCUACAGUUCUCUCUGCCAUCUUAUUUUAAUGCACAAAUAGAGACUAAAAAAUUAAAAUAACAUGUGAGGUAAUUUGUAAAACAAAGAGAAAUUCAGUUCUGAUUUGAAAAAACAUGAUUUAUUUGACAUAUUUCAGGUAAAAUCCCGUAUUAUACUAUGCCUCCAAUUAGGAAUCGAGAGGAACCUUCAGAAGCUAGGAUUGUUUCAGAGCUUGGGAAGGAAUUUAAUGUUGAUGAGGUCUACAGUGGUGAAUCCUCAUUUAUUGGUAGUCUCAAGUCCGUUAAUGACUACAAUCCUGUUGAAGUACCUCCUAGUUGUCCUAUCAAUUUUGAUGAAAGUAUGAUACAGGUAUGAGAAAUUGCACUUGCAUUCCUCUUCAUCUUAAAAUUAGUUUGGAAACAACCUUCAUUGGUAAUGAUUUCAUUCUUUCACUAUAUUUUCCCUAAUUACUUUUUGCCUCAUCAGGGAGAUAUGGAGACUCGGUCAUCAACCCAGGGUGAUGAAAACUCUGAAGAAAUGAAUGAUGGUGAAGACCAACCAAUGGGUCUUGAAGAAGAUGAUGCAAACAAAACCAAGACAAAAUCUACAACUAGCAAGCAAAAUGAGAAGUUAUAUGCAGCAGAAGGCAUGCUGAAUACAAAAAUGAAACGAGCAGAGAAGAAACGAAGGAAAAAAGCAGCCAAGGUUGAUGCAAUGGAUGAUGACUAUGAUUUCAAAGUGGAUUAUGUGAAGAAAAAAGAUUCUGCCAUGGAUGUUGAAGAUGCUAGCGAGGAAGAAGAUGACAAUCAAAUUGUUGGCGAGGUGCCAUUGUCUGGUGUCAAGUUUGAUGAAGAAUGAAGGGAUGCUUAGCCAUGAGAAAAAACAAAACGCUUUGUUUUCAUUGUUUGACAGCGAGUUAUAUUAUUGUUAAUCUCGUGAGUUAUAUAGUGACUUAAAAAACGAUCGGCAACAAUUAUAUUGAAAUCUGAAUCCUGCAAAGGAAAUUUUUUUAAGAAUGAAGAGAGCUGUUGAUUUCAUUUAGUACUGCUUUUUGACUCUCCAUCACCCAAUGAAAGCGAAGAGAAUAUGAAACUUUUUUGCUGACCUAUGUUAAUCUGUAGAAUGGGAAAUUGAACGUUUGUCACUGAUACUCAUUUUCUGUAUCCUAGAUCUGUUAUCUUAAAUCAGAAAAUAUUUUAGCAAUUAAACGGAAACUAUAAUGUACAGUUAAGGCUGAAACUGUGAAAUUAAAUCGUGAAACAGCUCGUCAAUAUGAAAAGUUUUUUGCAUUCAAAAGAUGAGAUUAUUUCUUCUACCAGGGUGGAUGUGAUCAUAUGCAGAUAAAUUGUCCAGAUAGAAAAAUGCAUUCAAUUCUCACAAAUUGCAAUACUUCAAAUUCUGAAGACAGGUAAAUGAACCCACUAAGUUAUGAAAGGAGAAUUUGUUAGAUGUGUUACUGUGAUAUAACUUUAGCAGUCACUCCCCAGAAGGCACUCGCCAGCAUCCUUCUACCCAAACUGGUCCAUUCUGGGUUCUAGCAUCAAAUGGAGUGAGGUUAACAAGUCUCCAACUUCCAUAUUAUUAAUCUUCAAGUAAUUACAAUAUUCUUCAAGGUAAUUCAGCACAUGAAAGUUUAAAUAUCAAAAUACAUUAUUUCAUUUCAGAUUACAAAGAUACAACUCUCUCUCUCUUUCUCUCUCUCUUUCAUUCAUGUGAAUAACUACGGAUAAGCCAUGUCUUAAAUUUACAGAAUAUGAAGAUGCAUGUUCACUCAUCAUCGGACACCCCAAAAGCAGGGUCUGGACCUGUCUCUGCAGUAGAGGCAGCAUAUGUAUUUGGAGAUGACGGUGAAUUUGCGGGAGUGACUGAAUUGUUGGUUGAUGACGAAGUGGCUGAGUCAACACCAUAUGUAGCUGAUGCUGUUUCAACUUUAGGAAUGAGUCCUUGUGCCUCCCUGGCUUCUCGUGCUGCAUUUUCCUUAGCUUUUCUAGCCCUUUCCAACACAUCUACCUGCAAAGAAAGAUGGCAAAUGCCAAACAGUUUCAAGAAUUUACAUUCAGCUUCAAUCCAUGAAUCCUAAGUUUAUUUGCAUAAAUUUUGUGAUAGUAGUUAGCAGGCAAAUAAAAACUCAGUCACUUUCAGCUUUCAGGAAAGUUAAUUUGACAUCUUUCUCAAAUAUAAAUACAUUCACACAAUAAGGCAUGAAUGUAAGCUAAAGCAAUGCGACGUGGACAUCUAGACCUCUCGAUGAUCAGUUGCGUAGAUUCCAUCUAAUGAGUAGUUCAUUUGAUGCGUAAUUAAAUGCAUCUAAUAAAUAGAUUCCAUCUAAUGCGUAAUUAAAUGCAUUUACAUUACAUUCCAUGAUGGUAAGUAUCAAACAUAGCCUAAGCAUGGCAGCAAGUAAUCUCACGUUCGUUGAGCAACACCAAUAAAAAAAGGGAUUCGCGAGUUACAAGAAACAUUCCAUAUUCAAGACAACUAAAAAACAAUAUUUUUCAAAUGUUGGUAUCCUGAAACAAACAAUUUCUAGCCCAGUCCUUCUUAAUUUGAAGAUAAAAUAAAUGAACACAAUCAAAUAUGAAAUAUCUCCCACUGCAAAUAAAAUGACAACCAAUUUUCUCAGUAUAAAAAGUAUUAAGGUGUAUUUCAAAUAACAACAGCAAGAACAUAAAAGAAUACUCCUACGACAAAUGAGUGUUUUUACAGGUUCACAUUUAGAUAAUUUAUCAAUUUCACUACCUGGAAAUCCUGUAUUUGCCUCUGCUGCUCAGCUUGUAGCCUGCCAAUUAGACUGAGAAACUCUCCAACUGUAGAUUCAAUACGCUCAUUAACUGCUUCUGCUAAAGCCUUUCCCAAGAAAAAUGCAUCCAAAAUAUUCUUGCUCUCAUCAUCACCUGCACAAAUUAAGUACAAGUCACUCUUUUUGCAAAGAAAAUGAAAUUGCAUCACAGAUUUAUAAUUCCUAAUAUUCGUUAAACUAUUAAAAACUCAAAAAUAUCCGACUAAACAUUUUAGUCAAGCCACAAAUAUUAAAAGAAUUACCCAUAAGUAAAAUUAAACCAAAGAUUGAAUCUUUUAUUUCUUUCGGCACUAGCCAAAAAAAGGAAAAAAAAAAUCAAACGUUUCUGUUCAUAUUUACUUUCCAAAAGAAAUUCCAGAUUUCAGAAAAAUAAAAGAGAAAUGCGUUGGUAAUUGUACCGGAACCGGGGCCACCGCGUCCGGUGGCGCUAUUGCAUCGGACAGUUCUUACAUGGGAGUCUUUCGCUGGCGUGUCAAAUCUAAGCCCCGAUUGUUUUUUGACCUUUACAGCUGAUAAGGACGAGAAACUGGGAUUAACUGAGGAAGGUGAACAGCUAUAACUAUACUUUUGAUUAUUGGAUUGAAUAGAAGAGAUUCUGGCGACCAACGGUGGGGAAGCCGAAACCCCACUCAUAUUGAAAAACGAACUUUGUUUUAUUUUCUCUCACUUUCUGUUACUUUCUCGGCGUUUUCUCUCCUGUACUUGUCUGCAUUCCAUGCUAUAAGAAGUACUUGCUCGGUUCGUUUUUUUUUUUUUUUUGUUCUGUGUAGGGGAAAGUGGGUCGGGUAUUAUCCAUGUAUCGGGUUUGGGCUAGUACCAGCUCUAUUACCAUUGGGAUUGGACCUAUAUCUUGGGCUGGGUGAUUGGGCCUAGCGUCACAAAGUCAGAAUAGACUGUGUAGAGGAAAUUAUCUAAAAAAUCAAAAUAUCAGUUGUAAAUUGUAAUAGUUAGAGCCUUUCUAUUUGGUAACUAGAUUGAAAUUACUUUUUAAAAAAUAAUAGUUCACUAAUUUUGACAUUUUUGAAAUAAUUUUUGAAAAUGUCCCAGACGACAAAUCCUUGGCAUUGGUUGACCACACCAGUGUCCAAUGCAACCUACACAUGAACCUUCCUAUGAGAAAAAUCAAGCAUCUCCAACCUAUUAUCCUUUUGAAUUUCUAUCAUCUUAUUUUCAAAACUAUGUAGUUCAUAAAUUUUUUAUUUAUAUGUAGAAUUUAUAUUAUAAUUAUAAAUUAUUAUAUUUAUAACUUCAAUCAAAUUUCUCUAUCUUCUUCUUUUACUUUCCUCCUCUCCCUAAACACACUCUCUCUCUCUAGGAAACCAUGGAAAUUAGGGUUUAGAUUUGAUCACCUUCUGUUAGUCUAACACAAUCUCCAUUCAUGGCGUCUUCUUCUUUAUCUCUACCAGACCUUACCUUCCUCUCUCCACAAACCACACAUAAAAAACUAUCAUCAUCCAGAGAAAACAAAAUUAGCGAAUAUUAUUUCGUAACAGUAGCAUACUCCAUACUGAAGAUAACUUUUAAAUUGAAAAUUAAGGAUAAGCAAUUAAUUAAUAACACUUUUCACAAAUGAUUUUCAGCCUAACUGGCAAGGGUGAUGUCUUGAGAUUUAAAGUUCAUAGGUUCAAUUCUUAUCUUUGGAUCUCAAAACAUCAUCCUUACCUUUUAAGCUAAGAAUUAUUUACUAAUUUAGUUCAUUUAUAUUAUAAAUACAGCUGAAUAUUAUAUAUAAUUUAUUUUCAAAAUUAAAUACUAAGUAUAUUUUCAAAAUUAAAAAUAUAUAAACAAAUAUUUAAUUAAUAGUUUUCUUGUAGUCUACUAAUCUAGUUUAUGUUAAUCUAUCUUAUGCAAUACAAUUAGCUGUCAACUUAGUUAGAAGUACUAUAUAAUAAUACAUUUAUAUAUUAAUGAAACUGAAAUUCCCUAGGAAAUAAUAAUAAUAAUAAUAAUUAUUAUUAAAUAUUACUUAUUUGUUUCAUCUGGAGAAGUAACAUCAACGUUCCUUAAGGGAGGAGAUUCUUGAGUUUUGACAGGCUUUUUAACUAACCAGAUGCUAGUUAAUUGAAGAAGAACAACAGCUGUCACUGAGGUCUUAAGUGUUAUUUCUAUUAUUAGGCACUAAAUUAGUUAAUCAAUAGUUAUCUUUGGGCACUAAUUGCCAACACAAGCAUUUUGAAUUUAUUAUUUGGUAUACCUAAUGUGCAAUUAUGUUUAUUUACUUAAGUUUAAUCACAAUUAUCAAAUACAUAUACUAAUGUUUCAAUAAACAUAUCCACUUGAGAUUCUCAAAUUUAAAAAUUGCUUCUUCAACCACUAAUGUUUCUUUAGAUAAGUGGAAAUCUUUUUAUAAAGACAUGUUCUUUGUGGAAUGUGAGAUGAUAAAGUUUAAUUAAAUAAUUAAUUGAACUAACUCUAUGUUGUUAAUACUUCAAUUCAGUUUCUAAUAAUAAUUGAACUUAAGUUGUGCAUUUAAUAUGAUUAAAUGCUCUAAAGGCAAAGAUUUGAGUUUUCUUUCAAGAGAUCUUUAGGUUUGAAUCUUGUAUGAGAUUGAGAUUAUAAAGAAUUUCAUUGUACAGGUUAUUUAAUUUGGUGAAUAAAAGUUUCUAAAAAACAAUAUUAGUUAAUAUGAGAAGCAUCACUUCAUGUUUCUUUUCUAGUUCCUUUAUUUUAUUUUAUUUAGUUUUUUUUUUAUUCAAUAAACACACUAUCUACAACACUUUUUUAGCUAGCUAUCAGGAUUUUGACCACAUCAAAACUCUAUGCGUUUAAUGAACGUAGGUCUUUAUAAAACGAUAAACACUCUAACAUUUAGCUUUUAAUUUUUUUUUUGACAAUUAUAUCCAUUUUUUCUCUUCAAAUUCAGCUAAUUAAAUAAUUAAUAUUUUUUUAUCAUUUUAAGUUAAACAUCUAAUUAAAUAGUUAUUUUCACCAAAUAUUUCUAAUUUAAUUGAUACAUAAACAACUACCGGCUAAAAAAAAAAAAAACUAAUAACUAACACCUAAUAGAAAUAUUCUUGAACAAACCUUAUAUAUUUUCAAAUAUUAUUUUGAUUUAUUUAUUAUUUUCUUUAUACGAGUGUUGUUGUUUUUUUAAUGGGAUUGAAUGAUUUUUCGUUCCUAGAAUUAUUAUGUUUCUCUUGGACCUUUUUUCAAGUAUGUAGUUUAAAUUUUUUAUUUUGAAUGUUUUACUAAUAUUCAAGCAAUGCGACUUGUUCAAAGAAAGAAAAGUUGAUUUUUGUUGCUCAUAAUAGCCAUCAGACGAAGCACGUUUUUUUGGCGAGUUGCCAAUUUUUAUGUUUUAUCAAUAUGAUUAGAGUUUUCUUACUUUUAAUAAAAAAAAUAAAAAAUGAGAGAUCUCGAAUUUAAAUCUUAUUUACUUUAAAUAAAAUUUUAAUGUCCACGAAAACUAAUCAUAACAUCAGUGAUCAUAUAAUAAGAAACACGUAUGCAAAAUUACUAAUCCACGUAACUAAUCAAUUAUAUAAAAUAAACUACAAAAUUGCAAUCAAACAAUAUAAAAUUUUGACAGUGGUAAAUAAUCUCUUACAUUUUAAUUUUACAAACCAUAUACAAUCAGAAGAUUGAUAAUUGAUAAUUAAUUAUAUUUAUUUUGGGAAAAUUAAGGUAACUUGUUCAAACACAAUAGGACCAGAAAAAUGCGUUACGGUCUUCUCUUCUAGAACAAGGAAUGGGAACAAAAACACCGCCUUAGAUUAAAUCCAAAUAUGAAAUCUUGAAAAUUUUCAAAUCCAAACUGCGUGGCAUUUCCGUUAUUACCUAUGAAAUUGGAGGGUAGCCAAACAACUCAUAGACAACGCUACGCCACGCUACCUUGCCUCCCAUCUAAGCGAAAAGGAAACUCUCUCUAUUUCUAACGAUAAAAUCACUCAUUUCUUUGAUUCAUUUCUACUCUGCAACAACAACAAAAAGCUCAUCACUCCUUUCUCUCUUUCUGAAUCUAUCUCUGUUUCUAGGUUUAGGGUUUAUUUUUUGUGUUAGUGCAGUGUAGAUGGGGCAGCAAUCGUUGAUCUACAGCUUCGUGGCGAGAGGGACGGUGAUUUUGGCCGAGUUUACGGAGUUCACCGGAAACUUCACUAGCAUAGCCGCUCAGUGUCUCCAGAAACUUCCAGCCACCAACAAUAAGUUCACCUACAAUUGCGAUGGCCACACCUUCAACUACCUCGUUGACAACGGAUUUAGUAUCUCCCUUUCUUUCUUUCUAUAUGAUUCUGAUUCGUAUCUUUUAGCUCUUUCUAUGAUCUGAUCUGUGUUUUCUUUAUCAUUGACUGUUUGUUUCUUUCUAAUCUCUUUUCCUAUGCUUUGAUCUGCGCGUCUGACUCUGUUUUUAGUUGACAAUUGAUUAAGUUAAGGAUUUUCAGGGAUGUGAUUAUUGUAGCAUAAAAAUAGUGCUGUUACUGGUUGUUUUUGCGAUUUAGUUCCGUACAAUCAAAGAAUAUUUGGUUCUGAUUUGAAUUUUAUGAUCCUAUCAUUACUAUAUGAAGGGCGUAUACAGACAUAUUCCGCAUAUGAUUAAUGUUUUGCUGAGUGAAAGAUAAUCAGAUCAAUAGAUUGCUCCAGGAUUACGGUGUUUAUUUGAUAAUCUUCUGUUAAGACUUAAGAUAAUGGUAUAUGAGUUGUAAUUACUGCUUUUGUUGUUUCUGUUUGAAUAAGAAUGAUAAAAUUGGAAGGAAAUAUGUAACUGGACCAAUCUGAUUAUUUUCUUAAUAAACACGGUAUAUGAUUUUGCCUUUACCUUGUAAGUGAAAAAAAAAAUGGGAAGAAUCUGUAACCACUUUACUAUAUUUAGUUUAGAUUGAUUGCUAAACUUAAUUAUUUAAUUGGUUGCUGGAAAUAUGAAGAUGGAAGGAAGACCAUGACAGUGACAGUAUCAUAGACUAUGGAACUAAAUUUGGUUAGUAGUUAGUCUUAACAGUUAUAGUCAUUGUUUUCCAGCAUUUGUUGAAUCAGUCUUAAUUGUUCUUUUAAUAAAAGAGAUGAUCACCAUUUUAUCUGGUGACUAAGAUUUAUGUUUCCUUAAUAGGUUCCUAAAUAACUGUGAUUUGGUUUUAAAAACUCUUAAAAUGGGUGCUUACAAAAAGGAAAGAAAUUUAUAUUACUAAACCGAAUCUUAAUCUACAUUUCAUCUCAAUGCUUUAAGGAGCAAUUAAUGAGAACAAGGAUUUGCAUGAGUUGACACUCUGAUUUCAAUGUGGUAUCAAUCCAUGGGAUAGUUCUAUUUCUUUUUCAUACAGUUAUAAUAAUUUGCUGCAUUUGGUAAAAUUUUUCAACCACUUUGCACUGGCAUAACGAUAUGUUUGGUAUUGCUGUUUGAACUACCGUUGAGAAAAUCCUUGCGGAAAUAUUGACUAGAGGUCCUUAACUUUCGUUUUUGAGGUGUGUACUACUUCGACAUGUUCUAAUUAUAAUGUUUCACACCAGUUGAAUAAUACUCCCAAAAUGCUUUUUCCAAUUUCUAAAAUAAUGCUUUUCUGAUUAUCUGUUUCAACUUCAGUGCCAAAUAUGGACUGACAAUGAAAAGUUCAAAUACCAUUGGGGUACUCUUAAAACUAGGUUUUUACUUUGGGAAAACUGCAGGUGCAUCUGUGAUUAAAAAUUUGCAGUACCAAAAGCUUUAGAUAAUACUAUCUCUUAUUUUAUUUAUGAGUUGAUACCCAAAUUUCACCAAGAAAUUUAUGACAUUUUUGGCUUUGUAUACUGGUUACAUAUUUUCAUUAGUUUCCUCCAGAGUAUUCUCUUAAUUAACAUGUGACAUAUGUGUGCACGUGUGUAAGAGAGAGAAAUACAUACACAAACAUGCUCUGAGAGAGAGAGAGAGAGAGUGCUAACUUAGAAUUUUGUACAUGAACAGGAGUAUAUUUUGGAAGGGGGCAACUGACAAAUUACUAUUUUCAUAUGUUAUAUCUGUUUAAGUCUGAGAUAACCACAAAAUUAUUUACAAUAAUAAUAGAAAAGUUACAUAUUUGAUCAACUAUUCAAAUUGGAAAGUCCGAGCUUGGAUAAUCUUGUCCUAUGUAAUCUCCUAUUUGGAUGUUGUCAUAUUUCUAAGUUGAACUAACUGGGCCUUGUAAAUUUUGCAGCUUAUUGUGUAGUUGCUGUCGAGUCUGUUGGACGGCAGGUUCCAAUCGCAUUCCUUGAGCGAAUCAAGGAAGAUUUUACCAAGAAAUAUGCUGGAGGAAAAGCUGCAACAGCAGUUGCUAAUGGCCUGAACAAGGAAUUUGGGUAACUGCUUUCAUUUAUUAGCACAUGAACAUAUGGCAUGCCUUCUCUGUAAUUAUAUUGAUUCCAGAAAGUUCUUAAUUGUGAUAGGCCCAAAUUGAAGGAGCAUAUGCAGUACUGUGUGGAUCACCCUGAGGAGGUCAGCAAGCUUGCUAAAGUGAAAGCUCAGGUUUCAGAAGUCAAAGGAGUCAUGAUGGAAAACAUAGAGAAGGUAAGCCACUUUUGCCACUUUGUAUAACUCCUAAACACAACCACAAAACAAUGAU
rnacentral:lncRNA from 1 species